rnacentral:lncRNA from 1 species
GUAGAUAGAUAACUAUUAAACAAAGAAGCAACUACCAUGAGAGGUAAAUAUUAUGAAGAGAAAUGACCUUGAAAAUAUGAGAGAUAGAGAGAGAGAGCAACCUGCAACACCCAUGUUGGGUUGUACGUGAUGGUCAAAGGAGUUGUGCGACAAAGUAGGCGACCACAUCCAGCGCCACCGGUAGCUAGUCAGAAGAAACAAUAAUUAGGCUAAGAGGUUCAUCACAAUUACUCAUUUUCGUAUCAGUAAAUUAGAUAAACACCAUAUGGCAAAAAGACAAGUUAAUGAUCAUUAAAGUCCGGUAAAUACACUAUCGGAACAGGUCAUUGAUUUGCAUGAAUUUUGGGACUGAGAAGAACCAGGAAGCGCAACUUUGCUACAGGAUGGUAAACACAUGAGAAAUUAGGCAAACUACUAGUCUUCUUCUUCUUGUGGUUUUCUAGUAUUUGCGGGUGAGUUCUUGUUCCCUGCCUACUUGCCUGCUGUACCGUAGUUACUGCUCGCUUACCACAACAACUUCUGCUGCAUGCAGUUAAGUCCAUUAAACGUAGUACAACUUUUCCCUGUUCUUCAACUUUUGAAACCGUCACGGCGGAAUCGGCGCACGGCUCUCCAACUCCAAUCCCCGGUACGCCAUCCGGAGUAGAUUCUGUGCGUAUCGUCUUCUUGCCGGACGCCGGUUCUUCUUGCUCUUCUCUUCUAAACGAGUGUUCUUGCCGUUCGGGCCAGCAGCUUCCCGUUGAUUUGGUACUAUGCGUACAUCUUCUCUCUGCUUCUCAAUUCUCAUGCUUCUCAUGUUUUCCUUUUUUCUAAAAGGAGGAUUACCUCCGGUCUCAUGCAUACGGCCCCACAAACUCCUUUCUCAUGUGAGAACUGAGAACAAGUUCGAUUCUUUUAUCGCCUAAAUAAAAUAUUUCAAUUCUUUUAGGUCUUAGUAGUAGUAGGUUAUUGUACCAGAUUGUACGGUUGUGGUACCGUGUUUAGGCCAGUAGCAUAUCGAGAUCAUCUCUGGCGUUUGGUGGGUGCGGCCAGAUUUGGGUCUAAGUUUUGACUUUUGGAUGCUUAUGGUGCACGCUUCUUCGGUUUGUUUGCGGUUUGUAUUGUACUACUACUACUGGUUCAUGCAAACUAGUGGUUGGGGCCCGCCAUUGCGGGCCUCCUGAGAGAUAGCUGGGCGCCAGGUGGGAAUGCAUCCCCUCUAAUUAGUUUUAUGUGAUAUGUGUCGUAUAGGUGCACGCAAGCAAUGAUAUGGUUUAGUUCAGAGCCAAAAUAUAGACUAUGAAAGUAAUGGCAAAUGCAAAUAUAACAAUAAGAUAGAGCAGUACAAGUGCAAUGCACAUUAUCACGCUUUGUGGGAAAGAGAUACAACUUCUGCUAGAAAUGUAGCAGCAUAAAAAUGAUUCACGAUAUAAAUUUAUGAAGUUUAUAUCUGGAGAUAUACAAAUGACAACAUAACUGGAGUACUAAAAACCUAUGAAGUUUCUAGUUGACUCAUCAAAUGGCUAAUACAGACAUUCUAGAGUCAGAAUUAUGCUGAACAGUAUGCCAUAAUAAAAUCAUCCGCACGUAAGACAAGACUAUCUUGGUUUAUUUUAUGUACCAGCUCAGAUCUCACAAUUUAUGCUGAGCACUCCCUACUCUAGAUUAUAGCAGAAUGUGCACAUACCUGCUGGAUAUAUCAGCUAUCCACGACUUUCCCAGUGCCUUGCUUAAGAACCAUUUUUAAAAGAAUUCGUGGAAAACCUCAAGAUUGGUCCAGCCCAGUUUGGUUACACAUGCAUUCCACUUCCCACAAAUCUGGCUUAUUAAAUUGUCGAGCCACCACUAACGUUUUGUACAGGAUAUUAGAGAUCAAUUAUAUGAGUGGAUGUUAUCUAGAGUAGGAAAUUGAGGAUAGAUACCCUUCUCUGUUGAGUGUACGCAAGGGCGGCCAAUGACAAAACUGAACGGUGUUGAGAAAUUGAACAGCUUGGCCAAUAGUCUGACACAAUUCUUGGGCUCGGCAGCUUAAUCAGUGGUGACAACCAUCCAGUUCGCUUCAAACAGCUCUCGCAUGUCAAGAGGAGCAGAGCAAUCCUAGUGGAUAUCAGUUUUCAUGAACUCGUGCUUCUAAAGUCAUGAGAUGCUGAGUAGAUUAGUCCAAUUCAUCUGCAAACACAACAGAGAGCAAAGGAAGUAUAAAGUAAGAAAAAGGAUCCAAAGUAGAGCAAUGCAUACUGCAGGCAACUGUACUCAGUUAGUAUCAUACAUAGUAUUAAUGCACCUAGAUAAUAAAGAAGAGACUGAACCUCUUUUAUGAAUUGUUUGUACUGAUGAAGGCAGAGUUGAAUCGCUCAAUUCAAAUCCUUUGUAACCUAAAGAGCACUGUUGGUGAAUCAGAAUCUAACAUUGACAUUGUUGCGAAAUAUCAUCUAAAUCUUGCUUUUUUGACCUGCAAAAAAAUGACUUCCUAAAUCUUGCUAAUUUAAUAGGGAAUUAACAUUAAGUAUGAUGCAGACAUGUACAAAACUGAAAUCAAUUCAUAUAGUGAAUUAAUCGUUCAUUAUUGAACUGGUAUACUCAAGAAAAAAGCACCGUAUGUAGAGAAUGUUGUACCUCACUGAUGAAAAGUUAAUAUGCCACUUAACUGAAGAUAAGUCAGUUUGUCCUUCAGUUAAAAUGCUAUAGAUUUCUUCAGUUAUAUUCUCCUGGUCUUACCAUCCAUUUGUUAGUUGACUGCAAUUUUUUAUCAGAUAAAGCCAAUUGUUAUAAUGUUAGUAGCUUUAUGAUCCAUCGUAGUUCAUAAAAAAUGGUGUUUAGACUAUCUAAAGUUAUAACGAACACAUGAAAUCGUUGUGUUGCCUCGUCACCAUUCCCACCCAGAUCCUUUUGAUUCCUAGUACUGCACAAAGGCACCAUCUAUCUCCUGUGGUUGUUAAACCCAUCACCCCAGAUCUAUUCCCUAUUCUAGAGUUCAUACUACCAAAUACUCGUAAAUCGCAGCACACAUCAAGGCCUGAAAUCAUCCAAACAAAGCAACUAACCAAGAGAUGGGACAUCACAUUUGAGAGAUAAAAUAUCACCUGAGAGGAUCCUCCCUCCCUCGAUUUGGGGCGCUGCUGCUACUUGUCUCCUUUKUGGAUGGGGGCAAGCUGUGGUCGAGCGGACGGCGGCGCGGCGAGGAGAAGUCAGGACAAGGUAGAGCCGCACGGAAGAAAGGGAAGGAUGGCUUGUGCGUCGUCCGGGAACACGAGGAGGGAGAUCGGCGCCCUUGCACCUGUCUGACCGGCGAACCUCAUCAGCAACCUCCUCUUCCCUGCCCAGCCUCGCCGUUCAUGACCUGACGGAGCAGGCUGGUCAACGAGCUAUGGGGGUGGAGCGAGAGGGGGUGCGGGUCGCUGGCGAUGGGGUUGGGGAAGAGCUCGACAGCGUCUUUCGCAUCGGCCGUGGCCGCCGGAGCUCAUCGGAGGCACGCCGAUGGUGGAGACGAGGUCUCGCCCCAAACCCUAGCCGUGGGGGAUGGGUUGGGCGCGGGUGUUGGAGGCAGGGAGGGACGGAUCUGGCCGGAAGGAUUAACAAGCAUGGCGAGGUGAACUCGGCAGGGUCCUCCGUGCCGGCUAUGGCCGCUGGAGCUCAGUGUUAAGGUCGGCGGCGGCGCCUAAGCCUAGGUCGCAGGAGGGCAGAGAGGAGAUGCGGAUGGCGGGGGAGAGGGGCUUCGAUGCGGCAGGGUGGGUUCCUUUUCUUUAUUUUCCAAUUACUUUGCCGUCAUUUGGACUAAGGGCAGACGGCAAAACCAUGGCACCGUUAACUGCCGUUCGCGUGCACACAUGGCAAAAUAUCUUUGCUGUCAUCAAUUUUAUUUAUACACGGCAAAAUAUUUUUUUGCCGUCAUUAGUAUACUUCACAGACGGCAAAAUUAUAUUUUUGCCGUCAUCAUUAACUUUUUACAGACGGCAAAAUAUAUUUGCCGUCAUCUGAUUUUCUUACGGACGGCAAAAUAUUUCUUUGCUGUUAGUUAUUCUUUGUCGUCACGUCAGUGACGGCAAAAUAAUCUUUGCCGUCUGCCCCGAUGAUUAGCUGACGGCAAAUAAUUUUUUUGUAGGCAAAAUAGUUGAUUCCUGUAGUGGUACUAGCGCUGGAAAUAUGCAUAGCAGUAGUGCUGGGUCGAGCGCUACUGCUAUCGCGCUAUAGCUAAACCCUAGUAGUAGCGCAGGUAUGGGCAGCGCUACUUGUAAGUAGUAUUAGCAGUAGUGCUUCCCUGUCCAGCGCUACGUCUAACUAUAGUAGCAGCGCUUGCUCAUAGUAAGCGAUGCUGCUAAGUAGCGCUACUGGUAAGUAUUUACCAGCGCUACUGCUGACUUCUACUGCUUUCACAGCUUUGCACCCUCUACGUAUUUGUGAUGUAUUUAUAUAGAUUCUAUACAAUAGUUUCAUCACAUCAUAUUAAACAUACACCAUUCUCACAUAUCAUAGACAUAUAGUAGUCUCGUCAUACCAUCAUCAUCAUCAUCAUUCAACACAAAAUAUCAUCACAAAAUCUCGAAAAUAGCGAUACAUAAGUGUGAUCAUGUCAUGUCUUGAAUAAGUGCAACUACAUGGUCAUGACACACCCACAAGUUUCAUCAUCUCUAUCUACAACAUGAUGUAGAAGAGAAGAGCGAUCCGCAUGAGGAAGAGCCUGACUAUGUAGUACCGGCGGUCCCGCCCCUGCUCAUGCUGGAGUGUCCACCUCAAGUAACUACUUUUUGCUUCGGCUCUGGUGUCGAACCCUCUAUGGGUAGCACCCGGGUACCUGUGCACCUGGGCCUGAGCGGCUGGCCAGUGGUCGUAGACUCUUGGAACCCUCCCAACGUACACGACGUAGUAGUCCUUCGCCAUCUCUGAUCUAGGUACCUGCAUCGUGAGUUUUUGAUUUGAACGAUAAUAUGCAACAUAAUGUACUUAAGAAAACAAAGAGGCAUGAUUAGCAAGAUAAAAGCAACCAAUAGUAAACAUAAAUGACGAAGUUCCUCAUACCUAAACUAAUUAUCUAGAAUGAUCUACUCUAGUUCAGGACCACGGUUUAGUUAGCAUUCUUUGGAUCGACAAAACCUUUGGGUUGCAUUAUAUACAAUUCUUCCUUAAGAAAACCGUUAAGGAACACCGUUUUGAAAUCCAUCUGCUAGAUUUCAUAAUCAAAAAAUGCAGCUAUUGCUAACAUGAUUCAGACGGACUUAAGCAUCGCUACCGGUGAGAAUGUCUCAUCGUAGUCAACUCCUUGAACUUGUGAAAAACCUUUUGCCACAAGUCGAGCUUUAUAAACGGUCACAUUAUCGUCCACGUCUGUCUUCUUCUUAAAGAUCAAUUUGUUCUGAAUAGCCUUGCGGCCUUCAUGUAAUAUUUCCAAAGUCCACACUUUGUUUUCAUACAUAGAUCCUAUCUCGGACUUCAUGGCCUCCAGCCAUUUGUUGGAAUCCAGGCCCACCAUUGCUUCUUCAUAAUUCGUAGGUUCAUUGUUGUGUAACAACAUGAUUGAUAAGACAGGAUUACCGUACCACACAGGAGCAGUACGUGAUCUUGUCGACCUGCGAGGUCCGACAGGAACUUGAUCCGAAGUUUCAUGAUCAUCAUCAUCAAUUUCCUCCUCAACCGGCGUCGCUUCGAUAGAGGUUUCCCCCUACCCUGCGCCACCAUCUAGAGGGAGUAGAGGUUCGGCAACCUCAUCAAGUUCUAUCUCCCUCCCACUCAAUUCUUUCAAGAGAAACUCCUUCUCAAGAAAAGCUCUGUUCUUAGCAACAAACACUUUGCCCUUGGAUUUGAGAUAGAAGGUGUACCCAAUGGUCUCCUUUGGGUAACCUAUGAACACGCACUUUUCCGCUUUGGGUUCCAGCUUUUCAGGCUGAAGCUUUUUGACAUAAGCAUCACAUCCCAAAACUUUAAGAAACGAAAAUUUUGGCCUUUUUGCCAUACCACAGCUCGUAUGGUGUCGUCUCAACGGAUUUUGACGAUGCCCUAUUUAAAGUGAAUACAGUUAUCUAUAAUGCAUAAACCCAAAACGAUAACGGCAAAUCAGUAAGAGACAUCAUAGAUCGCACCAUUUCUAACAAAGUACGAUUACGACGUUCGGACACGCCAUUAUGCUGUGGUGUUCCAAGCGAUGUCAAGUGUGAAACAAUUCCACAUUGUCUUAAGUGUGCACCAAACUCGAAACUCAGGUACUCACCCCCAUGAUCAGAACGUAGGAACUUGAUCUUCUUGUUACGAUGAUUUUCAACUUCACUCUGAAAUUGCUUGAACUUCUCAAAUGUUUCAGACUUGUGCUUCAUCAAGUAGAUAUAUCCAUACCUACUCAAAACGUCAGUGAAGGUGACAAAAUAACGAUAUCCGCCGCGUGCCUCCACACUCAUCGGACCGCACACAUCGGUAUGUAUGAUUUCCAACAAGUCACUUGCACGCUCCAUUGUUCCGGAGAACGGAGUCUUAGUCAUCUUGCCCAUGAGGCAUGGUUCGCACGUGUCAAGUGAUUCAAAAUCAAGUGAAUCCAAAAGCCCAUCGGAAUGGAGUUUCUUCAUGCGCUUUACUCCAAUAUGACCUAAGCGGCAGUGCCACAAAAACGUGAUGCUAUCAUUGUUAACUCUACAUCUUUUGGUCUCAAUGUUAUGUAUAUGUGUAUCAUCACAAUCAAGAUUCAAUAUCAACAAUCCUCUCACAUUGGGUGCAUGAACAUAAAAGAUAUUACUCAUAGAAAUAGAACAACCAUUAUUCUCUAACUUAAACGAGUAACCGUCUCGCAAUAAACAAGAUCCAGAUAUAAUGUCCAUGCUUAACGCAUGCACUAAAUAACAAUUAUUUAAGUUCAUAACUAAUCCUGAUGGUAACUGAAGUGAGACUGUGCCGACGGCGAUUGCAUCAACCUUGGAACCAUUUCCCACGUGCAUCGUCACUUCAUCCUUCGCCAGCCUUCGUUUAUUCCGCAGUUCCUGCUUCGAGUUGCAAAUAUGAGCAACAGAACCGGUAUCAAAUACCCACGCACUACUACGAGAGUUGGUCAAGUACACAUCAAUAACAUGUAUAUCAAAUAUACCUGAUUUUUCUUUGGCCGCCUGCUUAUUAGCCAAAUACUUGGGGAAGUUGCGCUUCCAGUGACCCAUCCCCUUGCAAUAAUAACACUCCGUUUCCGGCUUAGGCCCAGCCUUGGGUUUCUUCGUCGGAUUGGCAACAGACUUGCCACUCUUCUUGGAGUUACCCUUCUUGCCUUUGCCGUUUCUCUUGAAACCAGUGGUCUUAUUGACCGUCAACACUUGAUGCUCUUUCCGGAGUUCUGACUCUGUGACUUUCAGCAUCGCGAAUAACUCGUUGGGUGACUUGUUCAUCCCUUGCAUGUUAUAGUUCAACACAAAGCUCUUAUAGCUAGGUGGCAGUGAUUGAAGAAUUCUGUCAGUGAUAGCCUCUUGCGGGAGUUCAAUCCCCAGCUCAGCUAGACGGUUUGAGUACCCAGACAUUUUGAGCACAUGUUCACUGACAAAUGAAUUCUCCUUCAUCUUGCAAGCAUAUAAUUUAUCGGAGGUCUCGUACCUCUCGAUCCGAGCGUUCUUCUGAAAGAUAAACUUCAACUUCUGGAACAUAUCAUAUGCUCCAUGACGCUCAAAGCGACGUUGAAGUCCCAGUUCCAAGCCAUACAAGACUGCACAUUGAACUACUAAGUAGUCCUCCUUACGUGAUUGCCAAGCGUUGAAAACAUCUUGGUCAGACGCACCGGGUGGUUCAUCUCCUAGCGCAGCAUCAAGCACAUAAUUCUUUUUUCCAGCUUGUAGGAUGAGACCAAGAUUACGUGCCUAGUCUACAAAGUUGCUUCCAUCAUCUUUCAACUUAGCUUUCUCUAGGAACGUAUUGAAAUUGAGGGUUGCUACUGCGUGAGCCAUUGAUCUACAACAUGAAAUAUUGCAAAGUGGACUUAGAUUAUGUUCAAGAUAAUUAGAGUUUAACUAAUCAAAUUAUUUCAUAAACUCCCACUCAAAAAGUAUAUCCAUCUAGUCAUUUGAGUGGUGCAUGAUCCAAAUUCACUAACUCAAGUCCGAUCAUCACGUGAUGUCUGCACAUGCUAGGCCUUUUGGUCGACCUUUUGGUCUCUUGUGAUCCGAGGCCAUGUCUGCACAUGCUAGGCUCAUCAAGUUUAACCCGAGUGUUCCACGUGUCCAACUGUUUCGCACCCGUUGUAUGUGAACGUUGAGUCUAUCACACCUGAUCAUCACGUGGUGUCUUGAAACGACGUACUGUCGCAACGGUGCACAGUCGGGGAGAACACAAUUUCAUCUUGAAAUUUUCGUGAGGGAUCACCUUAUAAUGCUACCGUCGUUCUAAGCAAAAUAAGGUGCAUAAAAGGAUUAACAUCACAUGCAAUUCAUAAGUGACAUGAUAUGGCCAUGAUCUUGUGCUUCUUGAUCUCCAUCACCAAAGCACCGGCAUGAUCUUCUUAUCACCGGUGCCACACCAUGAUCUCCAUCAUCAUGAUCUCCAUCAUCGUGUCGCCAUCGAGGUUGUCGUGCUAUUUAUGCUAUUACUACUAAAUCUACAACCUAGCGAUAUAGUAAACGCAUCUGCAAACACAAACGUUAGUUUAAAGACAACCCUAUGGCUCCCGCCGAUUGUCGUAGCGUCGACGUGCAAAUCGAUAUUAACUAUUACAACAUGAUCAUCUCAUACAUCCAACAUAUCACAUCAUGUCUUUGGCCAUAUCACAUCACAAGCAUACCCUGUAAAAACAAGUUAGACGUUCUCUAAUUUGUUGUUGCAUGUUUUACGUGGUUGCUAUGGGUAUCUAGUAUGAUCGCAUCUUAUUUACACAAAAACCACAACGGAGAUGUGCAAAUUGCUAUUUAACUUCUCUUCAAGGACCGCCUCGGUCAAAACCAAUUCAACUAAAGGUGAAGAAACCGACACCCGCCAGUCAUCUUUAUGCAACAAGUUGCAUGUCAGUCGAUGAAACCAGUCUCUCGUAAGCGUACGAGUAAUGUCAGUCCGGGCCGCUUCAAUCCAACAAUACCGCUGAAUCGAGAAAAGACUAAAGAGGGCAGCAAAUCAAAAAUCAAUGCCCACAGAACCUUUUGUGUUCUACUCGAGAUAACAUAUACGCAUGAACCUAGCUCUAAUACCACUGUUGGGGAACGUUGCAUGGGAAACAAAAAAUGUCCUACGCACACGAAGACCUAUCAUGGUGAUGUUCAUCUACGAGAGGAAAUUAGAUCCACAUACAUUUGUAGAUCGCUAAGCGGGAAGCGUUUAAGAAACACGGUUAAUGUAGUGGUACAGCUUCGUGAUUCAAAUCACCGUCGUCCCAUGAUCCGGCUCACAAUUCGUUCCGAUCUAGCGCCGGACGGACGGCACCUCCGUGUUCAGCACACGUACAGCUCGAUGACGAUCUCGGCAUUCUUGAUCCAGCAAGAGAGACGGAGAAGUAGAUGAGUUCUCUGGCAGCGUGACGACGCUCCGGUGGUGGUGAUGAUCUACUCCUGCAGGGCUCUGCCCGAGCUCCGCAGAAAUCCGAUCUAGAGGAAGAACUAUGUGGUAUAGGUUUGAGUUGCACGUGGCAAAGUUGUGUUUCAAAAGACCUAAAACCACCAGUAUAUAUAGGAGGAGGGGUGGGGCUAGCCUUAGGGCUCAAGGGAGCCCCAAGGGCGUCGGACGAUUGGGAGGAGGUGGACUCCCACCCCAAUUCGGUUUAGGGGAAGGGGUCCACUCCUUCCUUCCCACCUCCCUCUUUCCUUGUUUUUUCUUUUCCUUUGGUUUUUUCCACUUGUGGAGCCAUGGCCCUCUUGGGCUGGCUUCACCAGUCCACUAAGGGAUGUUGUGCUACCCUAGGGUCACUGGACUCACUCCCGGGUGGGCGGGCCCCUCCCGUUGAAUACCUGGAACCCAUUUGUCACUUCCGGUACAGUGCCGGUAAUGCCCAAAAACUUUCCCGUAACCAAAUAAAACCAUCCUAUAUAUCAAUCUUUGCAUCCAGACCAUUCCGGAAUCCCUCGUGACGUCUAUGAUCUCAUUCGGGACUCCGAACAACCUUCGGUCACCAACACAUAUAACUCAACUAUACUAAAACAUCAUCGAACCUUAAGUGUGUAGACCCUGCAAAUUCGAGAACUAUGUAGACAUGACCCGAGACACUCCUCGGUCAAUAUCCAAUAGCGGGACCUGGAUGUCCAUAUUGGAUCCUACAUAUUCUACAAAGAUCUUAUCGGUUGAACCUUUGUGCCAAGGAGUCAUAUAAUCCCGUAUAACAUUCCCUUUGUCCUUCGGUAUGUUACUUGCCCGAGAUUUGAUCGUCGGUAUCCCUAUACCAAUUUCAAUCUCAUUACCGGCAAGUCUCUUUACUUGUUCCGUAAUACAAGAUCCGGCCAUGACUUAGACUUGAGUCACAUUGCUUGCAUGGCUUGUAUGUGAUGUUGUAUUACCGAGUGGGCCCCGAGAUACCUGUCUGUCACACGGAGUGACAAAUCCUAGUCUUGAUCCAUGCUAACUCAACGGACACCUUCGGAGAUACCUAUGGAGCACCUUUAUAGUGACCCAGUAACGUUGUGACGUUUGAUACAAACAAGGUAUUCCUUCGGUGUCAGUGAGUUUCAUGAUCUCAUGGUCAUAGGAAUGAAUACUUGACACGCAGAAAACAAUAGCAACAAAAUGACACGAUCACAUGCUACGUUCAUAGUUUGGCUCUAGUCCAUCACAUGAUUCUCCUAAGGAUGCGAUCCAGUUAUCAUGUGACAAUGCUUGCGUAUGGUCAUAAAAUCUUAACCAUCCUUGAUCAACUGGCUACCCAACUAUAGGCUUGCUAGGGACAUUGUUUUGUCUAUAUAUCCACACAUGUAUCUAUGCUUUCAUUCAAUACAAUUAUGGCAUGGAUAAUAAACGAUUAUCUUGAAACAGGCAAUAUAAUAAUAACUAUUUUAUCAUUGCCUCUAGGGCAUAUUUCCAACAAAAACAACAUACAAACUCUCUAGCUAAAGCAUUCAAAUGCAAUAACAAAUGCGAUCAAGAUCGCAACUAAGGUAACAAUUGAUCCAAUAGCAUAAUGUUACCAAGCUUCACUAUCAAUGGCAUAUUUUCUAAUCUUUCUAAUCUUCAAGCGCAUUUUCUCCAUCUUGAUCUUGUGGUCAUCGAUGACAUAGCCAACAUAGAACUCUAGUUUCAUCUUCUCUUCUUCAAUUCUUUUCAAUUUUUCUUUCAAAUACUCGUUUUCUUUUUCAAAUAAAUUUAACCUCUUGACAAUAGGGUCGGUUGGAAUUUCCGGUUCACAUACCUCCUAGAUAAAAAUAUCGAUGUCAACUUGAUGGGCAUAAUUUGUCAUAAACAUGAAAUGCAACAAAUAGUUAUAGAAGAGAAUAUACCACAUGUGAAUCAUAAACCAGACGGGAGCCGAUGGGGACGGAUAUCAAAACCAUGCCACUGUGUAUAAGAAACAAUUUAUGGGUAAGAAAAUUAUACAAGUAACUAUAUAUCUAAAUCACACAAACAUGAUUUUUUUUAUAAAAAAGAUAAUACGAACAAGAGGCUCACCAAGGUGAUGCCGGCGACGGGAGGGCGUGGGCGAUCGACGGUGGUUAGGACGAGGACGGGAAAGCACUAAGUAAACCACACCUACAUAUGCAAAGUAAGAGUUAAUUUGAGCUCAUAUUGUAUAUAAAUCAAAUAAACUACCACAUAUAAUUACUCCCAAAGUAAAACCCACAAAUCAUUAUACUUAUAGAGCAUUGCAAGAGCUAAUCUAGCAAUGAGAGAUAAAAUGACAAAGUUGCUAACCUUUGUGAUCACUUGGAUGGAUGGGGUGCCUUCAAAUCUUGACAAAUUUUGGGCAAAAUGAAGGAUGAGCUCGAGCUUUGGGGAAGAACAGAGAGCAGAGGAAAGGGGGAGAACAGAGAGCUCGAACGCGGGAUGGGCAAAGGGUUUAUAUAAGAAAACCCACUACAAGAAAUUUGUUCAUUGUUGACCCUCUAUUUCAAUCACUAAAUUCUCAUUAUUUAUGUUUUAGGACCUUCUUAUGACCAAAUUAGAAAGGUCAACAGUCGGCCGUCAAGAACGAACAAAGAAGACCUUUUUGAAAUUUCUGCCGUAGAUCUCUAUUGACCAAAAUUUUGGUUGGUCAUUACCCAAUAGCCCGACCCAUGUAGGAUCUGAUGUGGCUAAGGUGAUGUGGCAUUGCUAGUGACCAAAUGGAAUCAUCNNNNNNNNNNNNNNNNNNNNNNNNNNNNNNNNNNNNNNNNNNNNNNNNNNNNNNNNNNNNNNNNNNNNNNNNNNNNNNNNNNNNNNNNNNNNNNNNNNNNCUGGUGAGAACAGGUUAUUUGAUAUUAGCUCGCUUGAUGAAUGGAGAGCUCAUGCAUAUGAAAAUUCCAAGUUGUUCAAAGAAAAGGUUAAGAGGUGGCUUGAUAAAAGGAUACAAAAACGUGAGUUCAAUGUAUGUGAUUAUGUCUUGCUAUAUAAUUCUCGUUUAAGAUUUUUUGUCAGGCAAGCUUCUCUCUAAAUGGGAAGGUCCUUACAUUGUUGAGGAAGUAUAUCGUUCUGGUGCCAUCAAGAUCAACAACAUGGAAGGUAAUUUUCUGAGAGUGGUAAAUGGGCAAAGAAUCAAGAAUUAUAUUUCAGGUACUCCCAUAAAUGUUGAAAGCAAUAUUAUCAAUACCAUAACUCCAGAGGAGUACAUAAGGGAUAUUUAUCAGCCUGUUUCAGACCCCGAAAACGAAGAGGUAUGUGAUUCGGUAAGUAAACCGACUCCAAAACUUUUCCAGCAGGAAUUUUUCUCCGUUUUGGAUUUUUUUAGAAAAAUAGAAAAAUUUAAAGUAGUCCGGAAAGCGCACGAGGAGGCGACAAGCCUGCUUGGCGCGUGCCACCCCCUGGCCGUGCCUGGGGGGCUUGUGACCACCUCGUGUGCCUCCCGGACUCCGUUUUCUUGCGGAGUACUCCUUCUGGUCAGAAAAAAAAUACAUUAUAUAUUCUCCCGAAAGGUCUGACCCUCGUAUCACGCAAUUAUCCUCUGUUUUCAUUUUGAGCCUAUUUCUGUCGCAGAUUUUGGGCAAGAUGUCUUCUCAAGAUUCAGAGGGGGAGAGCUAUGUGGCCGAUUACCUUGCUAAUUCUAAGGUCUAUGGGGACUUGGAUCACUAUGGUUGGACCACUGACGAGGAAGAAGAUUAUGAUCCCAAGGGGAAGUAAGGAACAAGUUCUGAUGAAGAGGAGGCUCCUCUACCCCAACCUGGAGACACAUAUGUGGAGUUCAAAAAGUCAAGCCUCCCUGACUCAAGGAACAAGCCUAAGAUUUUGUUUAACCCUUCUCGUCUUUUGCAGGAGAGUAAGCAGGAAUUAUGCCAAAGGGUGUUGAGGCUUGAAGAGGAAAUUAACGAUCUGAAGGAGUAGAACUUUGUGCUCAAGAGGAAAUUAAAAAAAUUCAAGAACUCUGCAACAACUCCACCACUAUCACCUCCAAAGGAAGACAACUAAGCACGGGUAUGGGCAAUCCCCUUGGCUUGUGCCAAGCUUGGGGGAGUUGCCCCGGUAUCGUAUCACCAUCACACCUUUUGCCUUUACCUUUUCUUAGUUCGAUCCUUUUUGGUUUUAUCUUUCUCUAGUAGAAUAAAGUUCUUAGUGUUUUAGGCUUGAGUUUUGCUUUGUGUCAGCCCCGAUGUAUUCGAGUUCGUGAGUCAUAUAAUAAAGAGUGUUUUAGUUAAGGGCCUUGCUUCAUGCCAUGAUCUGAAAGAAAAGAAUGAUAGAAGAACAAAAGCAUGAAAGAUCAUGUAAUGAUCUUAUGGGAAGUGAUGACUCCACAUAUAAAAAGAAUGUUGAUUGAAACUUGUUGUGGGUAGACAAACGUAGACCUUGGUCAUUGUUGCAAUUAAUAGGAAGUAACAAAGAAAGAGAGGUUCAAAUAUAAAUAUAUCAUCUUUGACACCAUCUAUGGUUGUGAACACUCACUAAACUAUUACAUGCUUAGAAGUAGAUGUUAGACAAGGAAGACAACAUAAUGAAUUAUGUUUGCUUGGUUCCGAACAAUGAUUAUAUGACUAGAGAUCCCUUAGCAUGUGACGAUUUCUUCCACCUCAUAUCAGCCAAUACUUUCGCACUAAGUAGAUAUACUACUUGUGCAUCCACAAACCAUCAACCCCAGUUUUGCCAUGAGAGUCCACCAUACCUACCUAUGGAUUGAAUAAGAUCCCUCAAGUAAGUUGUCAUCGGUGCAGGCAAUAAAAAUUGCUCCCUAAAUAUGUAUGAUCUAUUAGUGCAUGGAAAAUAAGCUUUGUACGAACCUGUGAUGAGGAAGACAUAAAAGCGACAUACUCCAUAAUAAAGUUCUUUAUCACAGGAGGCAAUAUAAAGUGACGUUCCUUCACACUAAGAGGACACACAUCCAAACCUCGUAAGCGCAUGACAACCUCUACUUCCCUCUGCGAAGGGCCUAUCUUGUACCUUUACUUUUUUCCCUUGAAAGAGUCAUGGUGAUCUACACCAAUUCCUUAUCUCGCCUUUAUCUUGGCUAACGUCAUAUGCUAGGGAAAGAUCUAUAUUCAUAUGUCAACUUGGAAGUAAGUAUUCAUGAAUUAUUAUUGUUUACAUUACCCUUGAGGCACAUAGUUGGUAGGCGAAACAAUAAGCCCCUAUCUUUCUCUGUGUCCGACUGAAACUUUGAUCUCAUGAGUACCAUGUGAGUUGUAGCAAUUGUAGAAGACGAAAGGAUGAUUGAGUAUGUGGAUUUGCUUUACAAGUUCUUGUUUGACCCUUUUCGAUGUUAUGAUAAAUUGCAAUUGCUUCAAUGACUAUAGGCUAUUGGUUGUUAAUUCUCAAUAAGGUUCUUGAUCCAUACUUUACUUUGUGAAGGAAUUAUCACUUUAGCAUAAGAGAUGAUAUGAUGAUAUUGUUGUUCUAACUAUGAUCAUGAUGCCUGCAUGUCCAUAUCUUGUUUUGUCGACACCUCUCUCUCUAAACAUGUGGGCAUAUUUAUUGAUCUCGGUUUCCGCUUGAGGACAAGCGAAGUCUAAGCUUGGGGGAGUUGAUACGUCCAUUUUGCAUCAUACUUUUACGUUGAUAUUUAUCGCUUUAUGGGCUGUUAUUACACUUCACGAUACAAUACUUAUGCAUUUUCUCUCUUAUUUUGCAAGGUUUACAUGAAGAGGGAGAAUGUCGGCAGCUAGAAUUCUGGCCUGAAAAAGGAGCAAGUUUGAGAUACCUAUUCCGCGCAAAUCCAAAAGCCAUGAAAAUAGUUGAGGAAUUAUUUAGGAAUUUAUAAAAAAUACUGGGCGGAAGAAGUACCAGAGGGGAGCCACCAGGAGGCCACAAGCCUGGUAGGCGCGGCCUACCCCCCUGGCCGCACCUAGGGGGCUUGUGGGCUCCCAGUUGGCCCUCUGGCUCCCCUCUUUUGCUAUAAGGAGGGUUUCGUUCCACAAAAAUCAAGAGGAGGCUUUCGGGAGGAAUCGCCGCCGCCACUAGGCGGAACUUGAGCAGAACCAAUCUAGAGCUCCGGCAGGGUCGUCCUGCCGGGGAAACUUCCCUCCCAGAGGGGGAAAUCGUCGCCAUCAUCAUCACCAACACUCUUCUCAUCGGAGGGGACUCAUCACCAUCAACAUCUUCAUCAGCACCAUCUCAUCUCCAAACCCUAGUUCAUCUCUUGUAACCAAUCUCCGUCUCGCGACUCCGAUUGGUACUUGUAAGGUUGGUAGUAGUGUUAAUUACUCUUUGUAGUUGAUGCUAGUUGGAUUACUCGGUGGAAGAUUAUAUGUUCAGAUCCUUGAUGCUAUUAAAUACCUCUCUGCUCAUGAAUAUUAUUAUGCUUUGUGAGUAGUCACUUUUGUUCCUGCUAUAAGUAGUCAUGUGAAUUUGGUAUUCGUUCGAUAUUUUGAUGCGUUGUAUGUUAUUUUUCCUCUAGUGGUGUUAUGUGAAUGUCGAUUACAUAACACUUCACUAUUAUUUGGGCCUAGAGGAAGGCUUUGGGAAGUAGUAAGUAGAUGAUGGGCUGCUAGAGUGACAGAAGCUUAAACCCUAGUUUAUGUGUUGCUUCGUAAGGGGCUGAUUUGGAUCCACUAGUUUAAUGCUAUGGUUAGACUUUGUCUUAAUUCUUAUUUUGUAGUUGUGUACGCUUGCGAGAGGAGUUAAUCAUAAGUGGGAUGUUUGUCCAAGUAAGGGUAGCACCCAAGCACCGGUCCACCCACAUAUCAAACUAUCAAAGUAGCGAGCGCGAAUCAUAUGAACAUGAUGAAAACUAGCUUGACAGAAAUUUACCGUGCGUCCUCGGGAGCGCUUUACCUCCUAUACGAGUUUGUCCAGGCUUGUCCCUUGCUACAAAAGGGAUUGGGCCACUUUGCUGCACCGUUGUUACUAUUGUUACUUGCUACUUGCUGUGAAUCAUCUUACCACACAACUAUCUGUUACCGAUAAUUUCAGUGCUUGCAGAGAAUACCUUGGUGAAAACCACUUGUCAGAUCCUUCUGCUCCUCGUUGGGUUCGACACUCUUACGUAUCAAAAGGACUACGAUAGAUCCCCUACACUUAUGGGUCAUCAGCCUCACUACCGCCACCCCCAAGAAGCAAAUGAAGAGACCGACCAAGAUACCUAAAGGUGCCAUAGAUGCUUCAAGCAGCCAGCCGCCUCUGAAACCCCUGGUGGUAGACAUAAUACCUGUCGAAGGUAAGCCGUGUGUCCACAUCGCCGGCGAGCCGAUCCUACCUGCCAAAGCGCUAGAUCACAUACUGAACAAUGAUCUAAGGAGACUCCAUGAAGAUGUGCUGGCCAGAGAGAAAAACCUUCUGGUCGCGAAACAUCCAAGAUACCCGCUUUACGCGACUCAUGUGUUGGGUGGGGAAGUUGUAUAUCGAUACCUGGCCCGCGAAUCAGUUCCUCCUGCAAUUUGACGACAUCUACAAUAUGUUCCACAUGACCAAGCUGGAUUUCCAGUUCAUCCGCAUGUAUGUGAUGUAUCUCAACUCCAUCAUCAAUAUGGAGAGCAUCAAAUAUAUCUACGUCGGGGACCCAUACUAUAUGCACGAGGGCUUCUUGGAAGUGUGCAAAGAGAACCGUGACUAUUUGACCAAGUACCUCGGUGAAUUCAUGACCGCUAAUAAGGACAAGGAAGCGAUUCUCCUACCUUAUCAUCCCUCAUAAGUCAUCCGCGCAUAUCCUUUCGUACAUGUUAAUCAUUCCUUUGCAAGCAUGGAGGCUAAUUUGAGGUGUACUUAAUUUGCGCAGCGGGGGCGGCACCGUCCUCAUCAUUCUGCACCCGGAAUACUCCCAUGCUAUGUACUUGGACUCGUCGAAGAACCUCAAGAAAAAGGAUUACACGCACCUAAAGAGUGUUCUCGACUCUGCCCUAUGGACCUUCAGCCUGACUCGUGGAUAUAUCAAGGUGAAAAAGUACAGGAAUAAAGCACCGGCUUUCGGCCAUAAGACCGACUUCUGCUGCAUCCAGCAACCGCACAACAGUACGGCCGAUGGAUUCUACAUCAUGCAUCACAUGAUGGAGUUCAGAAGGGAUAAUCAAUGCCUUUGCAUGUCAGCUACUAUCAAAGAUGCCGAGAUUGUCAGCUCGGCCACAGGCAUAGGAAAGACACCGGAUCAUCGAAUCCGAGCUGAGUUUUAUCACGUAUAGUGUGAACUAGCCCAAGUGAUCAUGAAGCAAGUCCUUGAACCAACGGGGGUGUUCUACAAUGGGGCAAUCACGCGGGUUGAUGUCCGAGCACUGCAAGUCGCUCAGCGUGUGGACAUGAAGCCUUUCACGAAGCUCGGGUGCAUCCUCGAUGACUAUGAAGAUUGGAACGACGACCUCAGUGACUGAUUGUCAAUGACAAUGUGAUGUAACUAAACCGUGGUCCUGAACUAGCGUGCCUUAUCACUACAGUCUUUCUAUGGCAAAACUUUAAAAUUAUGCACGGCGAAACUAUGUGAUGUAACUAAACCGUGGUCCUGAACUAGAGUAGAUCAUUCUAGAUAAUUAGUUUAGGUAUGAGGAACUUCGUCAUUUAUGUUUACUAUUGGUUGCUUUUAUCUUGCUAAUCAUGCCUCUUUGUUUUCUUAAGUACAUUAUGUUGCAUAUUAUCGUUCAAAUCAACAACUCACGAUGCAGGUACCUAGAUCAGAGAUGACGAAGGACUACUACGUCGUGUACGUUGGGAGGGUUCCAAGAGUCUACGACCACUGGCCAGCCGCUCAGGCCCAGGUGCACAGGUACCUGGGUGCUACCCAUAGAGGGUUCGACACCAGAGCCGAAGCAAAAAGUAGUUACUUGAGGUGGACACUCCAGCAUGAGCAGGGGCGGGACCGCCGGUACUACAUAGUCAGGCUCUUCCUCAUGCGGAUCGCUCUUCUCUUCUACAUCAUGUUGUAGAUAGAGAUGAUGAAACUUGUGGGUGUGUCAUGACNNNNNNNNNNNNNNNNNNNNNNNNNNNNNNNNNNNNNNNNNNNNNNNNNNNNNNNNNNNNNNNNNNNNNNNNNNNNNNNNNNNNNNNNNNNNNNNNNNNNGCAGAAUUAGUUUAAUUUCUCUAUUACUUAGCUCUACUUGACCACUGGACUGACGAUGAUAGGGAGACGCAAUUCUAUGGUUGACAUCAUACUUAGCAAGCUUUUACGGAAAGCACCAUGAAUAAAAUGUGAACCACCAUCAGUCAUUAGAUAUCUAGGGACUCCAAAUCUAGGGAAAAUAACUUCUUUAAGCAUCCUGAUAGAGGUGUUGUGAUCAGCACUACUAGUUGGGAUAGCUUCUACCUAGUUAGUAACGUAAUCAACAGCAACUAGGAUAUGAGUAUACCCGUUGGAUUUUGGAAAAGGUCCCAUAUAAUCAAAGCCCCAAACAUCAAAUGGUUCAAUGAAAAGUGAAUAAUUCAUAGGCAUUUCCUGACGUUUACUGAUAUUACCUAUUCUUUGACAUUCGUCACAAGACAAGACAAACUUACGGACAUCCUUGAAGAGAGUGGGCCAAUAGCAACCUGAUUGCAAUACCUUGUGUGCAGUUCUAUCUCUCGCAUGGUGUCCUCCGUAAGCCUCGGAGUGACACUUCUGUAGGAUCUAUCCGUGUUCAUGUUCACGUACACAACGUCUAAUAACACCAUCUCCUCCUUAUAAAGGUGAGGAUCAUCCCAAAAUUAAUGUCUCAAAUCAAAGAAGAAUUUCUUGUUUUGCUCGUAUGUGAAACUAGGUGGUAUAUAUUUGGUAACGAUAUAGUUUGCAUAAUCAGCAUACCACGGUGUACUACGUGAAGCAUUGAUGACAUUCAAUAGCUCAUCAAGAAAGCUAUCAUCAAUAGGUUGUGGGUCAUCAAGAACAUUCUCCAACCUAGACAAGUUAUCUGUUACAUUUAGUUGCUCAUCAAGAAAGCUAUCAUCAAUAGGUUGUGGGUCAUCAAGAACAUUCUCCAACCUAGACAAGUUAUCUAUUACGGGGUUUUCAGCACCCUUCCUAUCAGCAACAUGCAAAUCAAAUUCUUGUAGCAAGAGAACCCAUCUGAUAAUUCUAGGUUUAGCGUCUUUCUCUUCCAUGAGGUACUUAAUAGCAGCAUGAUCAGUGUGAAUAGUAACCUUGGAAUCUACAAUGUAAGAUUUGAACUUUUCACAUGCAAACACGACUGCUAAAGAUUCCUUUUCCGUAGUAGCAUAGUUUCUUUGGGCAGUUUUACUAGCAUAGUGAAUAACAUUCAACUUCUUAUCAACUCUUUGUCCUAGGACAACACCAACAGCAUAAUCACUAGCAUCACACAUGAUUUCAAAAGGUAAGUUCCAAUUAGGUGGUUGAACAAUAGGCGAAGUUAUCAAGGCCUUUUUAAGUAUUUUGAAGGCUUCCUCACAAUCAUCGUCAAAAACAAAAGGAAUAUCCUUUUGCAAGAGAUUGGUAAGAGGCCUAGAAAUCUUAGAAAAGUCCUUAAUGAACCUUCUAUAGAAACCAGCAUGACCAAGGAAACUUCUUAUAUUUGAUAUUUGUAGGGCAUGGCAUUUUCUCGAUAGCAUCAACCUUAGCCUUAUCGACUUCAAUACCUCUUUUAGAAAUUUUAUGUCCUAAGACGAUGCCUUCAUUAACCAUAAAGUGGCACUUCUCCCAAUUCAAGACAAGGUUGGUGUCUUUACAUCUUUUAGAAAUUUUAUGUCCUAAGAAGUCCCUCAGAUUGUAAUAACAUCAUGAAUAAAUGGAAUUUAUUGUCUCAUGAUUGCCUAUGUUGAAACUGUAUGCGUUGUUUCUCUAUGAGCAAAGAUCUCUGAACAUUUAUGAGGAUAAGAGAAAAUAUGGUCUAUGCAGGCAUGAGUAUAAUUCAUUUGUAGUGUGGUAGUAAUCGGUAAACCCACAGGAUCCACUGAGUAGGAAUGUACCAUAAUUACCAAGGAGACACAUACAUUCCUCUGAGUACCUAUUUACUGACACCUGCAGAUGACAACUCUCUACGAGUCAUUCCUCAAGGGCCCAAAAACAAUCAUGACCCUGACCAGUGAUCAUGAUUACCCGAAAAUCCUGAAGGACAUGAUGUAGCACAUUCAUCUUGAAGGAGAUGCAGUCUACAAAGGCUACCCAUUUGUGGAAAAUGGAGUGGAACUUUGUUACGUGGAAGUACACCUCCACCAUGUGAAAGGAGUUUGUCCAAAGACUAUGGGGCAAUACUUUUUAAUUUCACGUGUACCACGAGCAACCUUCUUUGAUGUUGUUCGUGAAGCUGCCAUGGAAGCCAUACGUCAGAUCGGAGAAAUACUUGAAGCAAGACUCCGUCAUACCCAAGAAUACCUGAGUGAGGUACGUGCGGAGAUGACGGAGAUGAAGCUCAGGACCACCAUGAUGAAGCAAAAGAUGGAUGAUUUCAAGGAGCACCUCGGAAAGUUCGAGUGGAACUAAAAUAUCUCCAAGAGAGACAGAUGAAUAAAGUUGGCAGAAAAUGCUUGACCAUACCGAACAAUGUGGAUGGCAGCAUUUGUAAUAAAGUACUUUUGAAUUGGAGUUUUGGGGAUAAAUUAAGGAUGUAAUAAAGGAUUGAUUAUGAAAUGAAUAUGAUUUAUGGAAGAAGCUAUGAUGGAUCAGCAAACGUUUCCUUAGGAACAUACGAAAGCCAGAGAGUUGUGAAGAUACGAUAGAUGUUUUGUUCAGCUUGCAGAACCAAUGGAUUAUCCGAACUUCGAUCGUGGACAAGAGAAAUUCUGCAACGCUUGUGAGGAUGCCCAAGUGUUAGAAUGCGAGAUUCGCUAAACCUUAUACAGAGAAAUGAUUUGGUUGUGGAAUGGAUUGAUCACCAUGAGGACUUACUCUUAUCAUUUAUCUUGCUAUUCGGAAUGGUAAAUCUGAGAGACUUACCCAUAUAGAGAGACGACGUUCUUUGAAGCUUUUCUUUAAGCCUUAGAAUGGUACAAGGAAAGCCCCAAGUACAUGGCAUUUGUUGUCACGCGUAGGAAAUUUACGAUGAGAAUGAAACCAAGACCCUCUCUCUGCAGGACAACCACAAAUGGUAGACCACCAUGAGAACCAUCGAUAGGUUAUUUAGAAUUGACCACGAGACUGUCAGUUAAGAAGACCCAGUAACGGAAGAAGCUUAUAUCAACGAAAGAGCCCUCGUUUUUUAUGGAGACGUUAUGAAUAUAACGGAAGAUAUGAAGACUGUGAGGAGUCAAAUGCCAAAACCCCAGAGGAUUGUUAAAAUCUUAAGGGACCAGUACCUCUCAUUUUAAGUGUGGUAGCAUCCCACCUUGCCGGAGAUUCGAUUUGUUAGAAGACCCCAAACCCUAACCUUUCUUUCUAGCCUCUUCGAAUCUCGAGGACGACAUUCAUUUUAAGUGUGGUAGGUUUGUAACAUCCCAAAUUUUGGAAUGUUAAUAAAACUAUUAGUUUGUUUGUUUGCUUUCUUGAGUGAUUGAAACUUGAGUGAAAAUUUGAAACUUUUCAAAACUUUUGAAGGAGAGGGAAUAAAAUGACUUUCCCCUUCGCCGAUGAAUUCAAAUUCAAUCAUUUCAAAGCAAAGAGAGAAGAUGACAUGACUUCUUCAACUAUAAAGAAUUUGAACGGAGAUUUUGCAUUUGAAUUUUUUUUGCAUUUCUAUUUGUUUUCUUCGUGCAAGAACUGCCGGGAAAUAAUUUCUUGCAAGCAAGAAAGAGAGGAGGAAUAUGACCCUCCAAAACCAGGGGCACUUCUAAAAUAUUUGUAGCCAAGAAAGCCAAAGUUUUAUUAUGAAAAUAAUUGCCAAAAAGAAAUAAAGCAUAUAGGGGAUUUUCUGAAAAACAUUUUUUUUAAGUUUUUAUUUUUGCCUUGGAAAAAUGUUAAUCGAGUAGAGGAUAUUUUUCUGAAAAUUUUGGUAUAUAAUACCCUAUAUUAAUUAUUUUAUUUUGUUUCCUUUUUAUCCCUUUUAGUUUCUGUUUUAUUAAAAAAUCCAAAAUCGGGAAAGUUUUUUUUAUUAGGAAAACGCCUGAGCGCUUUAUAGCCAGAUCGGGCCGAAUCCCGCCUGACCCGGGACCGGUUCCCUUCGGAUCGGUCAACCGACCGGACCCCGCCUCUCUCCCUCUCCCUGCCAGGUGGGCCCCCUGGCCGACCGAGCCCGCCUGCCGGCCACCCCCUUCCUCCCUUCUUCCUUCUUUCCUUCCCGCAUCUGAGCUCCUUCCAUAGCUCGCCGGCCGGCCGAUCCCCGCCCGGAUCUCCCUCCACCUUCCCCUCCAGAGCCUCCUUGCCCCCCUAUAAAUACUCCCCAAUGCCACCGCACCCCGUUCCCCUCCCCUGACCGAGCUCCUCACCAACCACGCCGCCCUGCCACCUCGCCGGACUUACGAGCCUCGGCCGAAGCUUCCCCGAGUCCCCCUGCUCGCCUCCGGCCACGCCACACCUCGCCGCCGCCACCGCUGGACGCGGGAGCUCUGCCGCCGUCUUCCCCAGCCCUCGGACGCCACCGAGACUCACCGGAGCCCCUCCCCACUCGCUAGCUCCGCCUCGGCCUCGCCGGCGACCUCGCCGGAGCACCACCACCACGGUGAGCCAGCCCUUGUGAACUCCAUCACCUCCUUUUAGUCCGUUGGAUCUAGAGUAAACGCGCAGGAUUAGAAACGAGGAUACCCUUUCGGUUUAAUCAGAUAAACCAAAACGUUUUUAUUCCACUUAACUUUAGCCGAGCUGUUUUAGUUACAUUGCGACUGUCUGUUAGAUUUCACCGCAGCACACACACCCUGACCAAUCAGAAGAUGCCACGUGGACCCCUGGUCCACAAAUCAGUUUUUCCUUUUUCUGUUUUAAUUCCAAAACAGAGAGAGUUUCAAUUUUCUUUUGCUCAUAACUUUUGAUCCAUAAGUCCAAUGGAGUUGAUUAUUUUUCCAGUAGAUCACAUUUUUCUGUAGUUUUUAAAAACAUAUAAUUUGUCUAUGUUUGAAAUUUUCAAAUUUGAAUUAGAUCAGAUUUAGUUUAAACCUUGUUUUGCUUAUUCCAGGAGUUUAAAAAUAGAUUUUAAUUUGAUUCCUUUUGAUACUGAUCACUAGUGAUCAUAUUUAUCAGUGGUAAAAAUUUCAGAUUUGUUUGAGUAUUUUAGCUGAUUGUUUCUUGUGAAACAAUUUCUGUUUCACCUCUUGUAGGAUUGUGACUAAUUCACUUUAUUUAGUUGUUUUUAAAUUAUUUUCUUUUAUAUUUCAGGAAGAUUAUGUUUUGUUUAUGUUAGUUAACAGUAGUUUUUCAACAAGUUUUGAUUUUAUUUUUAUAUGUCAUCAUGAAAUCAAUUCUAGUUCCCUAAUAACUUGCAAUUGGUUUCUCCACUGUUUCAAAUCCCGUUUGGAAAUACUUUUAAAUAGUUUUGUGAAAAAUACUUUAUUUUAUAUUAGUUCCCUGUUAUUAUUUUCCGUCGGACAAAAAACUAGUUAGUGUUUGACGUAGUAGAAGACUCCCUAGUCUUAUUUGAAGUUUCCUUUGGAUUCCUAUUCGCUCUCUCUUUUGUUUUGAUUGCUAGAAUGAUUGCUAGUAUGAGUGCUUAUGUGAAUGAUAUGUUUGUUAUAUAGAUUUCAUCGGAGAGUGACGAGUAGUCUAUCAAGUUAUUUCUCGAGAAAUUAUUCUUCGUCAACAUCACCAGGCAAGUCACUUUGAUCAUACUAUCACCUAUGUUUUAUGCAUCGUAGUUCUACCAUCCUAUGCCCAAUUGCAUGCUAAGUAGGUACUUGGAAAUUUUAGUAUAGUUUGUAGUAUCAUGUGGUAGGCACACAACAACCCCGAUACUUGGCCCCGGGACGAAAAAUUUCAUAUUGCUAUGCUUGAGUAGACGGGAUUUCGGUUGAGUGCAUAACACGAGUGAAGUGCGAGGUUGAUUAAAUAAUCAAGACCGGUUAAGACAAGAUUUUCAAGACCUCGGAUGGAAUGCAACUCUCGGUGAAGGACGGUUGAUCGGCUCCCUGGAGAAACCAGUGGACGACCCGGGAUGCUGGAGACGGCCAUGACAUCUUGCGGAAAGCUUCACCCAGGCUCGAAGAGACGGACGGAUAUUUUCAAGACCCAAGGCUUACCUGCACAGCCACAAGUCAUUAUGGGCUCUGGCUUGGUUGGACAACGCGGCGACUCAGGACAAGCAGUGCUAGCAGAUGUAGAAGAACGGUAGGAAUGGAUGGGCACCAACAGGGAUUUAGAGGGACCCGUUGAAAGACCAUGUUUUGAUCAUCCGGUCUUCAAACACCCUGAAGUGCGAGGACAUACACGGAGGCGAUCAAAUCUUGUGGGGAACGUGUGCAAAACUCUGCAGAGUACUCAAACCUAAUCGAUUAGCCGUGUCCAUGGUCAUGGACAACUUGAGCCAAAGGAACUGAAGUUAUCUGAAAUUAUCAACACCAUUAUAUAUAUUUGAUGAGGGUAAUAUUGAUAACUUGGGUACGAGAACUGGUUGGCGGAACCAUCUCGUUAACAACCAGCCUUGUAGUAAUAUUUUGCUUUUAGCCCCUCUUGUUGUAGGAGAAAAUUUGCUUUACGCUAAAAAACUUACAACACCACCUGCCAUAUAUGCAUAUAGUAUAGAUGAUUACUUUUCACCCCUCUCUUAUGUGACUUGCCGGCAUAUUCAAUAUGCUGACCUACACGGCUGCAACGUCUUAUGUUGCAGAUAUUUUUCUUUCGACAAGUAAGUGUACGAUUUAGGGUUACAGUCUACACUCAACUUGCCGUUGGUGUUUAUUGGGACUCCACUCCCUUGACUGCUUCCGCUGAGAUAUUUAAGGUAUAUAUCAGUUUUACGCUAUUUCCAUGUGAUUGCACUUUGAUAUAUACAUUGAUGUACUGUGUGUGCCAGCAUAUUGAUCCAGGGAUGGCACGGAUACACAGAGGCUUGACUCAUUUUGAGUCGGGUCCCUACAAUAGCCAUCAUACAUCUUUGAAGGGUAGCAGGUGCAUUACAUAAGCCAAAAGGCAUACGUUUGUAAGCAAAGGUAGCGAAAGGGCAGAUGAAAGUGGUUUUCUCCUGAUCAGAUUGUGCAACGGGUAUUUGGGAGAAACCAGAAUAACUAUCUAGAAACAGAAGUGUGUGUGUUUAGACAGUCUUUCUAGCAUUUGGUCGAUAAAAGGCAAAGGGUAAUGAUCUUUCCUAGUGACUUUAUUCAAUUUCCUAAAAUCGAUCACCAUCCUAUAGCCAGUAAUAAUCCUCUGUGGGAUCAAUUCAUCAUUAUCAUUAGGGACAACGGUAAUACCUCCCUUCUUAGGGACGCAAUGCACCGGACUGACCCAAUCACUAUGAGAAACAGGAUAGAUAAUGCGUGCUUCCAAGAGAUUUAGUAUUUCUUUUCUUACUACCUCUUUCAUCUUAGGAUAUAAUCUUUGUUGAUGAUCGGCAACUAGUUUGGUAUCAGGAUCGGUUUUAAUUUUGUGCUGGCAUAGAGUGGGACUAAUGCCCUUAAGAUCAUCAAGAGUAUAUCCUGUUGGGUAACGUAGCAUAAAUUCAAAAAAAUUCUUACGCAUAUUCAGAUCUUCCUAUGGAGAGACGAGCAACGAGAGAGGGGUGAGUGCAUCUUCAUACCUUUGAAGAUCGCUAACCGGAAGCAUUACUAGAACGCGGUUGAUGGAGUCGUACUCGCGGCGAUUGAGAUCGCGGUGUGAUUCCGAUCUAGUGCCGAACUAUGGCACCUCCGCGUUCAACACACGUGCAGCCCGGUGACGUCUCCCGCACCUUGAUCCAGCAAGGAGGGGGGAGAUGUUGGGGAAGAUCUCCAGCAGCACGACGGCGUGGUGUCGAUGGAGAGACGAGGUCUCCCGGCAGGGCUUCGCCAAGCACCGGCAGAGAGGAGGAGAAAGAAGAGGAGGGCUGCGCCGAGGGAGAGAGAAAAUUGUGUCUCCAAAAGCCCAAAAGUGCCCACUAUAUAUAGGGGGAGGGAGGGGCUGUGCCCCCUUGAGGGUUUCCCUCCCCUGGGAGGGGCGGCAGCCCUAGAGUGGGGGGAGGUGCGGCGGUCAAGGGGGGAGGAGGGGUGGCGCACCCUUCUGGUGGGCCUUAGGCCCACCUGCGUUAGGGUUUCCCCCCCUCUCCACCUCCUGCGCUUUGGGCUGAGUGUGGGAGGCGCACCAGCCCACCUAGGGGCUGGUUCCCUCCCGCACUUGGCCCAUCUAGCCUCCCGGAGUCGUUGCCCCCUUCUGGUGGACCCUCGGGGCCACCUCCGGUGGUCCUCGUACGUUACCUGUGACGCCCGAAACACUUCCGGUGUCCGAAACCAUUCGUCCUAUAUAUCAAUCUUUACCUCUGGACCAUUCCGGAGCUCCUCGUGACGUCCGGGAUCUCAUCCGGGACUCCGAACAACUUUUGAUAACCUCGUAUAACAAUUCCCUAUAACCCUAGCGUCAUCGAACCUUAAGUGUGUAGACCCUACGGGUUCGGGAGAUAAGCAAACCUGACGGAGACACCUCUCCGGCCAAUAACCAUCAGCGUGGUCUGGAUACCCAUGGUGGGUCCCACUUGCUCCACGAUGAUCUCAUUGGAUGAACCACGAUGUCAAGGAUUCAAUCAAUCCCGUAUACAAUUCCCUUUGUUUGUCGGUAUAGAACUUGCCCGAGAUUCGAUCAUCGGUAUACCUAUAGCUUGUUCAAUCUCGUUACGGUAAGUCUCUUUACUCGUUCCGUAGCACGUCAUCGUGUGAAUAACUCCUUAGUCACAUUGAGCUCAUGAUGAUGUUCUACCGAGUGGGCCCAGAGAUACGUCUCCGUCACACGGAGUGACAAAUCCCGAUCUCGAUUCGUACCAACCCAACAAACACUUUCGGAGAUACCCGUAGUGCACCUUUAUAGUCACCCAGUUACAUUGUGACGUUUGAUACACCCAAAGCACUCCUAUGGUAUCCGGGAGUUGCACAAUCUCACGGUCGAAGGAAAAGAUACUUGACAUUAGAAAAGCUUUAGGAUAUGAACAAUACGAUCUAGUGCUACGCUUAGGAUUGGGUCUUGUCCAUCACAUCAUUCUCCCAAUGAUGUGAUCCUGUUAUCAAUGACAUCUAAUGCCCAUGAUCAGGAAACCAUCACAUUAGAGGCUUGCUAGGGACACACUGUGAUCUAUUUAUUGACACAUGUAUUACUGUUUCCUGUUAAUACAAUUAUAGCAUGAACAAUAGACGAUUAUCAUGAACAAGGAAAUAUGAUAAUAACCAUUUUAUUAUUGCCUCUAGGGCAUAUUUCCAACAGUCUCCCACUUGCACUAGAGUCAAUAAGCUAGUUACAUUGUGAUGUAUCGAACACCCAUAGCAUUAUGGUGUUGAUCAUGUUUUGCUCGUGGAAGAGGUUUAGUGAACGGGUCUGCAACAUUCAGAUCCGUGUGUACUUUACAUAUCUCUAUUACUCCACUCUGGACAUGGUCCUGGAUGGAGUUGUAGCGGCGUUUGAUGUGCUUCGUCUUCCGGUGAAACCUGGCUCCUUGGCUAUGGCAAUGGCCCCAGUGUUAUCACAGAAGAGUGUCAUUGGACCCGACGCACUUGGAACCACUCCAAGGUCGGUGAUGAGCUCCUUCAUCCAAAUUCCUUCAUGAGCCGCUUCUGAAGCAGCUAUGUACUCCGCUUCACAUGUAGAUGUUGCCACGACUUCUUGCUUGCUGCUGCACCAGCUCACUGCCCCACCAUUCAAAACAUAUACGUAUCCGGUCUGUGACUUAGAGUCAUCCGGAUCUGUGUCGAAGCUAGCGUCGACGUAACCCUUUACGACGAGCUCUUCGUCACCUCCAUAAACGAGAAACAUUUUCUUAGUCCUUUUUAGGUACUUCAGGAUAUUCUUGACCGCUGUCCAGUGUUCCAUACCGGUAUCACUUUGGUACCUCCCUACCAAACUUAUGGUAAGGUUUAUAUCAGGUCUGGUACACAGCAUGGCAUACAUAAGAGAGCCUACGGCUGAAGCGUAGGGGAUAGAACUCAUCUUCUCUCUAUCUGCUGCCCUGGUCAGCGACUGAGUCUUACUCAAUCUCAUACCUUGCAAAAUUGGCAAGAACCCUUUCUUUGAGUUUUCCAUAUUGAACUUCUUCAAUAUCUUGUCAAGGUAUGUACUUUGCGAAAGACCUAUGAGGCGUCUCGAUCUAUCUCUAUAGAUUUUGAUGCCUAAUAUGUAUGCAGCUUCUCCAAGGUCCUUCAUUGAAAAAAUCUUGUUCAAAUAGGCCUUUAUGCUCUCCAACAUCUCUAUGUCAUUCCCCAAAAAUAAUAUGUCAUCCACAUACAGUAUGAGGAAAGCUACAGAGCUCCCACUCACUUUCUUGUACAGACAGGCUUCUCCGUAAACCUGUAUGAACCCAAACGCUUUAAUCACCUCAUUAAAGCAAAUGUUCCAACUCCGAGAUGCUUGCACCAGCCCAUAGAUGGAGCGCUGGAGCUUGCACACUUUGUUAGCACCCUUAGGGUCGACAAAACCUUCUGGUUGCAUCACAUACAACUCUUCCUUAAGGUUCCCGUUAAGAAACGCUGUUUUGACGUCCAUUUGCCAAAUUUCAUAAUCAUAAAAGGCGGCAAUUGCUAACAUGAUUCGGACUGAUUUAAGCUUCGCUACGGGAGAGAAAGUCUCUUCGUAAUCAAUUCCUUGAAUUUUUCGAAAACCCUUUGCGACAAGUCGAGCUUUAUAAACGGUUACAUUACCGUUUGCAUCAGUCUUCUUCUUGAAGAUCCAUUUAUUUUCUAUGGCUCUCCGGUCAUCGGGCGAGUCCACCAAAGUCCAUACUUUGUUCUCAUACAUGGAUCCUAUCUUGGAUUUCAUAGCUUCAAGCCAUUUGUUGGAAUCCGGGCCAGCCAUCGCUUCUUCAUAGUUAGAAGGUUCACCGUUGGCUAACAACACGAUUUCCAUCACAGGGUUGCCGUACCACUCUGGUGCGGAGCGUGCCCUCGUGGACCUUCGCGGUUCAGUAGUAACUUGAUCCGAAGCUUCAUGAUCAUUAUCAUUAACUUCCUCUUCAGUUGGUGUAGGCGCCACAGGAACAACUUCCCGCGCUGCGCUACUAUCCUGUUCGAGAGGGGGUGUAAUUACCUCAUCAAGUUCUACCUUCCUCCCACUUACUUCUUUCGAGAGAAACUCUUUCUCUAGAAAGGAUUCGUUCUUGGCAGCAAAGGUUUUACCUUCGGAUCUAAGAUAGAAGGUAUACCCAAUAGUUUCCUUAGGGUAUCCUAUGAAUACGCAUUUCUCCGCUUUGGGUUUGAGCUUUUCUGGUUGAAGUUUCUUCACAUAAGCAUCACAGCCCCAAACUUUAAGAAACGACAACUUAGGUUUCUUGCCAAACCAUAGUUCAUACGGUGUUGUCUCAACGGAUUUAGACGGUGCCCUAUUUAAAGUGAAUGCUGCAGUUUCUAAUGCAUAUCCCCAAAAUGAUAGCGUUAAGUCGGUAAGAGACAUCAUAGAUCGUACCAUAUCUAAUAAAGUGCGAUUACGAUGUUCAGACACUCCGUUGCGAUGCGGUGUGCCAGGCGGCGUCAGUUGUGAAACGAUUCCACACUUCCUUAGGUGUGUGCCAAACUCGUGACUCAAAUAUUCUCCUCCACGAUCAGAUCGUAGACACUUAAUUUUCCUGUCAUGUUGAUUCUCGACCUCACUCUGAAAUUCCUUGAACUUUUCAAAUGUCUCAGAUUUGUGCUUCAUCAAGUAGAUAUACCCAUACCUACUCAAAUCAUUGGUGAGAGUGAGAACAUAAGAUAGCCACCGCGAGCUUCAACGUUCAUUGGACCACACACAUCAGUAUGUAUUAUUUCCAAUAAGUCAGUUGCUCUCUCCAUUAUUCCUGAGAAUGGAGUCUUAGUCAUCUUGCCCAUGAGGCACGGUUCGCAUGUGUCAAAUGAUUCAAAGUCAAGAGACUCUAAUAGUCCAUCAGUAUGGAGCUUCUUCAUGCGCUUAAUGCCGAUAUGACCAAGGCGGCAGUGCCACAAGUAUGUGGGACUAUCAUUAUCAACUUUACAUCUUUUGGUACUCACACUAUGAAUAUGCGUAACAUCACAAUCGAGAUUCAUCAAGAAUAAACCAUUCACAAGCGGAGCAUGACCAUAAAACAUAUCACUCAUAUAAAUAGAACAACCAUUAUUAUCUGACGUAAAUGAGUAGCCGUCUCGCAUUAAGCAAGACCCUUAUACAAUGUUCAUGCUUAAAGAUGGUACUAAAUAACAAUUAUUAAGGUUUAAAACAAAUCCCGACGGUAGAUGUAGAGAUAGCGUGCCGACGGCGAUCACAUCGACCUUGGAGCCAUUCCCGACGCACAUCGUCACCUCGUCCUUGGCCAGUCUCCGCUUAUUCCGCAGUUCCUGCUUUGAGUUGCAAAUGUGAGCAACAGCACCGGUAUCAAAUACCCAGGAGCUACUACGAGCGCUGGUAAGGUACACAUCAAUAACAUGUAUAUCACAUAUACCUUUAACGUUGUCGGCCUUCUUAUCCGCUAAGUAUGUGGGCAGUUUCGCUUCCAGUGACCCUUUCCCUUGCAAUAGAAGCACUCAGUCUCAGGCUUGGGUCCAUUCUUUUUCUUCUUCUCGGCAUCUGGCUUACAGGGCACGGCAAUGGCUUUGUCGUAUUUCUUGAAGUUCUUCUUACCCUUGCCCUUCUUGAAACUAGUGGUCUUGUUGACCAUCAACACUUGAUGCUCUUUCUUGAUUUCUACUUCUGCAUACUUGAGCAUCGAGUACAACUCGGGAAUGGUCUUCUCCAUCCCUUGCAUGUUGUAGUUCAGCACAAAACCUUUGUAGCUUGGUGGGAGAGACUGGAGGAUUCUGUCAAUUAUAGCAUCAUCCGGAAGUUCGACUCCAAGUGAAGUCAGACGACCGUGUAACCCACACAUUUUGAGUAUGUGCUCACUGACAGAACUGUUCUCCUCCAUCUUACAGCUAAAGAACUUGUCGGAGACUUCAUAUCUCUCGACACGGGCAUGAGCUUGAAAAACUAGCUUCAGCUCUUGGAACAUCUCAUAUGCACCGUGUUGCUCAAAACGCCUUUGGAGBCCCCGUUUCUCAACUUUAUAACAUGACGCACCUAACCAGAGAGUAGUCAUCACUCCGCGUUUGCCAGACGUUCAGAAUGUUCUGGGCUGCUGUGGGAGAGGGAGGGUCACCUAGCGGCGCAUCAAGGACAUAAGCCUUUUUAGCUGCUUCAAGGAUGAGCUUCAAGUUGCAAACCCAGUCCGCAUAGUUACUACCAUCAUCUUUCAGCUUGUUUUUCUCUAGGAAUGCGUUGAAAUUGAGGUUGACGUUGGCCAUCUACAAUAUUUAUAAAGACAACUUUUAGACUAAGUUCAUGACAAUUAAGUUCAUUUAAUCAAAUUAAGUAUGAACUCCCACUUAAAUCGACAUCCCUCUAGUCAUCUAAGUGACACAUGAUCCAUGUUGACUAACCCGUGUCCGAUCAUCACGUGAGACGGACUAGUCAUCAUGGUGAGCAACUUCAUGCUGAUCGUAUUCAACCAUAUGACUCAUGUUCGACCUUUCGGUCUCUUGUAUUCGAGGUCAUGUCUGUACAUGCUAAGCUCGUCGAGUCAACCUAGGUGUUUCGCGUGUGUAAAUCUGGCUUACACCCAUUGUAUGUGAACGUUAGAAUCUAUCACACCCGAUCAUCACGUGGUGCUUCGAGAGAACGAUCCUUCGCAACGGUGCACACUUAGGGGAAUACGUUCUCGAAAUUUUAAGAGGGAUCGUCUUACUAUGCUACCGUCGUUCUAAGCAAUAAGAUGAAAAACAUGAUAAACAUCACAAUGCAAUCAUAUAGUUACAUGAUAUGGCCAUUAUCAUCUUUGCACUUUCGAUCUCCAUCUUCAGGCAUCACAUGAUCAUCAUCUCACCGGCGUGACAUCAUGAUCUCCAUCAACAUGAUAUCCAUCAUCUUGUCUCCGUGAAGUCGUCACGCCAACUACUACUAUCACUACUACUAUAGCUAACCAUUAGCAAUGAAGUAAAAGUAGUAAGCACAUGGCGUUGCAUCUCAUACAAUAAAUUAAGACAACUCCUAUGGCUCCUGCCGGUUGUCAUACUCAUCUACAUGCAAGUCGUGAAACCUAUUACAAUAACAUGAUCAUCUCAUACAUCAUACAUGCAAUAUCACAACUUUGGCCAUAUCACAUCACAUGUCAAACCCUGCAAAAACAAGCUAGACGUCCUCUAGUAGUUGUUGCAAGUUUUACAUGGCUGAUUUGGGUUUCUAGCAAGAACGCUUUCUUACCUAUGUGACAGCCACAAUGAUGAUAUGCCAAAGCUAGUUACCCUUCAUAAGGACCCUUUUCAUCAAAUCCAAUCUGACUAGAGUACGAGAGACAGACACCCGCUAGCUACCUUUAUGCACGGUGUGCAUGUCUAUCGGUGGAACCAGGCUCACGUAAGCAUACGUGUAAUGUCGGUCGGGUCGCUUCAUCCCACAAUACCGCCGGAAAAUAAUAAGACUAGUAGCGGCAAUUAAUUGACAAAUCAUCGCGCACAACCUUUUGUGUUCUACUCGUGCAUAGAAUCUACGCAUAGAAAACCUGGCUCGAAGGCCACUGUUGGGUAACGUAGCAUAAAUUCAAAAAAAAAUUAACGCAUAUUCAGAUCUUCCUAUGCAGAGACCAGCAACGAGAGAGGGGUGAGUGCAUCUUCAUACCUUUGAAGAUCGCUAAGCGGAAGCGUUACUAGAAUGCGGUUGAUGGAGUCGUACUCGCGGCGAUUCAGAUUGCGGUGUGAUUCUGAUCUUGUGCCGAACUACGACACAUCCGCGUUCAACACACGUGCAGCCCGGUGACGUCUCCCGCACCUUGAUCCAGCAAGGAGGAGGGAGAGGUUGGGGAAUAUCUCCAGCAGCACGACCGCGUGGUGUCGAUGGAGAGACGGGGUCUCCCGGCAGGGCUUCGCCAAGCACCGGCAAAGAGGAGGAGAAAGAAGAGCAGGGCUACGCCGAGGGAGAGAGAAAAUUGUGUCUCCAAAAGCCCAAAAGUGUCCACUAUAUAUAGGGGGAGGGAGGGGCUGCGCCCCCUUGAGGGUUUCCCUCUCCUGGGACGGGCGGCAGCCCUAGAUGGGGGGAGGUGCGGCGGACAAGGGGGGGGAGGGGUGGCGCACCCUUCUGGUGGGCCAUAGGCCCACCUGCGCUAGGGUUUCCCCCCCCCUCUCCACCUCCCGCGCCUUGGGCUGAGUGUGGGGGGCGCACCAGCCCACCUAGGGGCUGGUUCCCUCCCGCACUUGGCACAUCUAGCCUCCCGUGGUCGUUGCCCCCUUCCGGUGGACACUCGGGGCCACCUCCGGUGGUCCUGGUGGUCCCGGUACGUUACCGGUGACGCCCGAAACACUUCCGAUGUCCGAAACCAUCCGUCCUAUAUAUCAAUCUUUACCUCCGGACCAUUCCGGAGCUCCUCGUGACGUCCGAGAUCUCAUCCGGGACUCUGAAGAACUUUCUGUAACCUCAUAUAACAAUUCCCUAUAACCCUAGCGUCAUCGAACCUUAAGUGUGUAGACCCUACGGGUUCGGGAGACAGGCAGACAUGACCGAGACACCUCUCCGUCCAAUAACCAUCAGCGGGGUCUGGAUACCCAUGGUGGCUCCCACAUUCUCCCAGAUGAUCUCAUCGGAUGAACCACGAUGUCAAGGAUUCAAUCAAUCCCGUAUAUAAUUCCCUUUGUGUCGGUAUAGAACUUGCCCGAGAUUCGAUCGUCGGUAUACCUAUACCUUGUUCAAUCUCGUUACGGUAAGUCUCUUUACUUGUUCCGUAGCACGUCAUCGUGUGACUAUUUCCUUAGUCACAUUGAGCUCAUGAUGAUGUUCUACCGAGUGGGCCCAGUGAUACCUCUCCGUCACACGGAGUGACAAAUCCCGAUCUCGAUUCGUACCAACCCAACAGACACUUUCGGAGAUACCCGUAGUGCACCUUUAUAGUCACCCAGUUAUGUUGUGACGUUUGAUACACCCAAAGCACUCCUACGGUAUCCGGGAGUUGCACAAUCUCACGGUCGAAGGAAAAGAUACUUGACAUUAGAAAAGCUUUAGCAUACGAACAAUACGAUCUAGUGCUACGCUUAGGAUUGGGUCUUGUCCAUCACAUCAUUCUCCCAAUGAUGUGAUCCCGUUAUCAAUGACAUCUAAUGCCCAUGAUCAGGAAACCAUGAUCAUCUAUUGACUAACGAGCCAGCCAAUUAGAGGCUUGCUAGGGACACAAUUUGAUCUAUUUAUUCACACAUGUAUUACAGUUUCCUGUUAAUACAAUUAUAGCAUGAAGAAUAGACGAUUAUCAUGAACAAGGAAAUAAGAUAAUAACCAUUUUAUUAUUGCCUCUAGGGCAUAUUUCCAAUAUAUCCAAUAGCAGCACGGUGCUUCCUCGAAGUUUUUAGUAACUUCUUUUCUUCAUGCUCUGAGAGGCUAGCACUAAUAAUAACGGGAUAUAUCUCUCUUUUUCAUCAGGAUAAGCAUACUUAAGAGUAUCAGGCAACUAUUUGAGCUCGAACACAGGAUCACCCUUUGGUGGGGGUGAGUCUCCAAGCAGUUCAGCACGCAAAUUAUUCUUAAAGGAUAGGAUAUUGUUCAAAGAUAUAUAACUCUAUCUAUCUCAUCCCUUUCAUCCAUAUGCAUAUCAUUUUCAUGCUCAAGCAAGUAUUGCUCUAAAGGAUCAGUAGGAGGCACAGCGAUAGAAGCUAGGGCAAUAAUUUCAUCCUUACUAGGCAACUCUUUUUCAUGAGGUUGUCUACCAAACUUGGAGAAAUUGAACUCAUGUGACACAUCUUCAAAGCCAACAGUGAUAGUUUGCUUCUCAUAGUCAAUAUGAGCAUUGAUAGUAUUGAGGAAGGGUCUGCCAAAUAUGAUGGGACAAAAGCUAUCUUGUGUGGUAGCAAGAAAGAGAAAAUCAGCAGGAUACUUCGUUUUACCACACAAGACUUCAACAUCUCUAACAAUUCCCAAAGGGCGGAUAGUAUCUCUAUUGGCAAGCUGAAUAGUGACAUCAAUAGAUUCCAUCUCAACAGGUGCAAUCUCGUCUUUAAUUUCAUCACAUAAGGAUUGAGGUAUUGCACUAACACAAGAACCUAUGUCACAUAAACCAUGAUAACAAUGAUCUCCUAUCUUAACAGAAACAACAGGCGUGCCAACAACAGGCCUAUGUUUGUCUCUAGCAUGUGGUUUAGCAAUUCUAGCAGCAUCUUCACAGAAGUGAAUAUCAUGGCCAUCAACAUUGCAGGACAGGAGAUCUUUGAUAAUAGCAAUGCUAGGUUCAACUCUAAUUUGCUCAGGGGGUGUAGGUGUUCUAAUGUAGCCCCUAUGUAUCACAGUUGAAGCUUUAGAAUGAUCCUUUAUCCUAACAGGGAAAUGUGGUUUCUCAAUGUAAGCACUAGGAACAAUAGGAUCAUUAUAAGAAUGACUUUCUCUUCAACUGGAUUGGGUUUAACUACAUUGACUUCUAAGGGAGGAUGGUAUUUAAACCACUUCUAUUUAGGGAGAUCAAUAUGAGCAGCAAAAGAUUCACACAAUGAGGCUACUAUCUCAGAGUCAAGUCCAUAUUUAGCGCUAAAAUCACAAAAGGUAUUUGUUUCAACAAAGAAUUUAACGCAAUCAAACAUGAGAUUCAUACUUGACUCCUUACCUUCAUCAAACUCCCAAUCUUUAGAGUUGCCUUUAAUUCUUUCCAAUAAAUUCCAUUUGAAGUCAAUAUCUCUCUUCAUAAAAGAACCGGUACAAGAAGUAUCAAGCAUGGUGCGAUUAUCAUGAGAAAGGCAUACUUAAAAGUAUCUCGAUAUAUAUGGAUAUAUCUCUUCAUAUGGAUAUAUCUCUUCAUAUUGAUAUAUCUCUUCAUAUGGAUAUAUGUGGAUAUUUCUCUUUAUAUGGAUAUAUCUCUUUUUCAUCCAGAUAAGCAUACUUAAAAGUAUCUGGAAACUGUUUAAGCUCGAACACAGGAUCACCCUUUGGUGGGGGUGGAUCCCCAACAGUUCAACAGGCAGAUUAUUCUUAAGGAUAGGAUAUAAUUCUAAGACAAGUCUAUCUAUCUCAUCCCUUUCAUCCAUAUGCAUAUCAUUUUCAUGCUCAAGCAAGUAUUGCUCUAAGGGAUCAGUAGGAGGCACGGAAAUAGACGCUAAGGCAAUAGUUUCAUCCUUACUAGGCAACUCCUUUUCAUGAGGUUGUCUACCAAACUUGGAGAAAUUGAACUCAUGUGACACACCUUCAAAGCCAACAAUGACAGUUUACUUCUCACAAUCAAUAUGAGCAUUGACGGUAUUGAGGAAGGGUCUGCCAAAUAUGAUGGGACAAAAGCUAUCUUGUGUAGUAGCAAGAACGGGGAAAUCAGCAGGAUACUUCGUUUUACCACACAAGACUUCAACAUCCCGAACAAUUCCCACAAGGCAGAUAGUAUCUCUAUUGGCAGGCUAAAUAGUGACAUCAAUAGGCUCUAUCUCAACAGGUGCAAUCUCGUCUUUAAUUUCAUCAUAUAAGGAUUGAGGUAUUGCACUAACAUUAGCACCCACGUCAAAUAAACCAUGAUAACAAUGAUCUCCUAUCUUAACAGAAACGACAGGCGUGCCAACAACAUGCCUAUGUUUGUCUCUAGCGUGAGGUUUAGAAAUUCUAACAGCAUCUUCACAGAAGUGAAUAUCAUGUCCCUCAAGAUCGUCAGACAAAAGAUCUUUUAUAAUAGCAAUGCUAGGUUCAACUCUAAUUUGCUCAGGGGGGUGUAGGUGUUCUAAUGUAGCCUCUACGUAUCACAGUUGAAGCUUUAGAAUGAUCCUUUAUCCUAACAGCGAAAGGUGGUUUCUCAAUGUAAGCACUGGGAACCACUGGAUCAUUAUAGGCAAUGCCUUUCUCUUCAAAUGGAGUGGGUUUAACUACAUUGACUUCUAAAGGAGGAUGAUAUUUAAACCACUUCUCUUUAGGGAGAUCAAUAUGAGCAGCAAAGGAUUCACAAAAUGAAGCUACUAUCUGAAAGUCAAGUCCAUACUUAGCGCUAAAGUCACAAAAAGUAUUUGUCUCAAGAAAGGAUUUAACGCAAUCAAACAUAAAAUUCAUACCUGACUCCUUACUUUCUUCAACCUCCCAAUAUUCAGAGUUGCGUUUAAUUCUCUCCAAUAAAUUCAGUUUGAAGUCAAUAUCUCUCUUCAUAGAAGAACCGGUACAAGAAGUAUCAAGCAUGGUGCCAUCAUCAUGAGAAAGCCGAGCAUAGAAGUUCUGAAUGAUAAUUUAUCUCGAGAGGUCAUGGUUGGAGCAUGAAUAUAACAUUGAUUUAAGCCUCCCCAAGCUUGAGCUAUACUUUCUCUGUCACGAGGCCAAAAAUUAUAAAUAUAAUUCCCAUCACGAUGUACCAAAUACAUAGGAUAAAACCUUUGAUGAAAUUCCAAUUUCAAUCGGUUGUAGUUCCAUGAUCUAGUAUCAUCACAUAGCCUAUACCAUGUCAAUGCUUUAUCCCUCAAAGAUAAGGGAAAGACCUUCUUCUUGACCUCAUCCUCGGGCAAACCUGUAAGCAUAAAUAAACCACAAACUUCAUCUACAUAGAUUAGAUGCAAGUCUGGAUGUGAUGUUCCAUCUCCCGUAAGAGGAUUAGCCAGCAGUUUCUCCAGCAUACCCGAAGGAAAUUCAUAGCAAAUAUUUUCAGUAGGUGCAGCAGGUUCAGGAGCAACUCCUUGUGCUUCUGUUCGAGGUGAAGAUACCCCGAACAAGCUCCUCAAAGGAUUAGUUUCCAUAGUAACAAGUGACAAUAAAUUUCAGCACAAAAUGUUUCCUUAACAAAUUCCACUUACCAAAGGCACGUCACUCCCCGGCAACAGCGUUAGAAAAGAGUCUUGAUGACCCACAAGUGUAGGGGAUCUAUCGUAGUCCUUGCGAUAAGUAAGAGUGUCGAACCCAACGAGGAGCAGAAGGAUCUGACAAGUGGUUUUCAGCAAGGUAUUCUCUGCAAGCACUGAAAUUAUCGGUAACAGAUAGUUGUGUGGUAAGAUGAUUCGCAACAAGUAGCAAGUAACAAUAGUAACAACGGUGUAGCAAAGUGUCCCAAUCCCUUUUGUAGCAAGGGACAAGCCUGUACAAACUAGUAUCGGAGGUAAAGCGCUCCCGAGGACACACGGGAAUUUCUGUCAAGCUAGUUUUCAUCAUGUUCAUAUGAUUCACGUUCGCUACUUUGAUAGUUUGAUAUGUGGGUGGACCGGUGCUUGGGUUCUGCCCUUACAUGGACAAACAUCCCACUUAUGAUUAACCUGUCUCGCAAGCAUCCGCAUCUACGAAAGAAGAAUUAAGAUAAAGUCUAACCAUAGCAUUAAACUAGUGGAUCCAAAUCAGCCCAUUACGAAGCAACGCAUAAACUAGGGUUUAAGCUUCUGUCACUCUAGCAACCCAUCAUCUACUUACUACUUCCCAAUGCCUUCCUCUAAGCCCAAAUAAUGGUGAAGUGUUAUGUAGUCGACGUUCACAUAACACCACUAGAGGAAAAACAACAUACAACGCAUCAAAAUAUCGAACGAAUACCAAAUUUACAUGACUACUUAUAGCAAGACUUAUCCCAUGUCCUUAGGAACAAAAGUGACUACUCACAAAGCAUAAUAAUAUUCAUGACCAGAGAGGUAUUGAAUAGCAUCAAGGAUCUGAACAUAUAAUCUUCCACCGAGUAAUCCAACUAGCAUCAACUACAAAGAGUAAUUAACACUACUAGCAACCUUACAAGUACCAAUCGGAGUCGCAAGACGGAGAUUGGUUACAAGAGAUGAACUAGGGUUUGGAGAUGACAUGGUGCUGAUGAAUAUGUUCAUGGUCAUGAGUCCCCUUCAAUGAGAGGAGUGUUGGUGAUGACGAUAGCAACGAUUUCCCCCUCCGGGAGGGAAGUUUCCCCAGCAAGACGACCCUGUCAGAGCUCUAGAUUGGUUCUGCUCAAGUUCCACCUCGUGGCGGCAGCAAUUCCUCCCAAAAGCCUCCUCUUGAUUUUUUUCUGGAAUGAGACCCUCCUUAUAGCAAAAGAGGGGAGCCAGAGGGCCAACUGGGAGCCCACAAGCCCCCUAGGCGCGGCCAGGGGGGUAGGCCGCGCCUAGCAGGCUUGUAGCUUCCUGGUAGCUCCCCUCUGGUACUUCUUCCGCCCAGUAUUUUUUAUAAAUUCCAAAAUAAUUCCUCAUAGAUUUUCACGGCUUUUGGAGUUGCGCAGAAUAGGUAUCUCAAACUUGCUCCUUUUUCAGGCCAGAAUUCCAGCUGCCAGCAUUCUCCCUCUUCAUGUAAACCUUGCAAAAUAAGAGAGAAAAGGCAUAAGUAUUGUACUGUGAAGUGUAAUAACAGCCCAUAAAGCGAUAAAUAUCAACGUAAAAGCAUGAUGCAAAAUGGACGUAUCAGAGCCCACCAUACCUUCCCUAACCACCACCCCAAGUGUCCUCGGGCUAAAUAGUGGACGGGCCUCGGGUGGUUGCUGGGUAGAGGCGGCAUCUGGAGGUGUCUCCUCCGAGGAUGGAUUGAAGAGAGACUUUUUGCAUUUUGCCUUAGGACGUUCCGGCUCCGACAAAUCAGGCAGCAUCAAGUCAUCAUGUCCACGAUCAUAGCCUAAGUCUUCGUCGUCCUGAGCCAUCAAUCCAUCAUAGGCGGGUAUUGACAUACUGGUUCGGGUCCUCAUCAUAUCCUCCAUGUCAUCAUCAACAUUUGCUUCUUUGACAACGGGGGCGACAUGAUCUGGCACUAAUGGAGGCUCUCCCUCACGUCGUACGCUACCAUCAUCUGUCACAACAGGUGCAGGUAAUUUGGUAGGUGGGGUGGUGUUCAUACCUUCUUGAGAAGUUGGCGUUGGCGUGAUACUGGGCUCCUCGAGACGAAGAAGAGACUUCGGCCAAGUCAAGAACCAGUUCUUGCAUGCGCCAAUAAGCGUAGGGGUCUCGUCGUCACCGACUAGUAUCGGAGGAGGCAAAUGCUCGAAUCCCGCUAAGACACUGGCCACGUUAACCUUGAAGACGCCAUUGGGCAUCUGUCGGUUGUGGAACAUGCGGUCCUUCAGCUUCACGAUGGUUGCAUUUCCCACAACCACCUUCUGGCCCUUGAUGUCGUAGAGUAGGUUGCACGGGGUGUCGUCGGCCUACGAAGGAGACAUGUCUGCGACAUCAAACAUCUGAAAGGCAACUGAAAUGGAAGACUAUAGACAUGCUGGUGAAAAGGGUCUGACGCGUAAUUAUCGUGAGGGUUUCGAGCUCAACCAGUGAGGAAGGCCCGCCGAGCAUGCUAGAGAUCGAGGUUGGGCUGCUACGAACAGGAAUGUGACCUUUUGCGGUUGCUUGAGCAGUUGUUGGUGUUGUGGUGUUCGACGAGUUGCUCCCGACAAAGCUAGGAAUUGGGUUGUCCUCCGGUCGUGCAUUUGGAUUGCUCUUUGACCAAUUGAAAAUUGCCGGAAUCAAGUUGGCCACUGCGUCAGUGACCAACCCACUAACUACGUCGACCAACUCUUCUUUGGCCUCAGCUUUGGUCUUAUUGAUCACAAUCGCGAACUUCUUGUUGAUGCUCUCCUGAGUGACGACCAACUGUCUCUUCCUUCUAUCCUCUGGCCCCUCGGGGUAGCACGUCUUCCACGAGGCGCCAUCUCUGAUGCCGUGCACACGUCCAUAGGACGGCGGCUUGUCCACCGGGACCUUUUUUAGUAUGUUCAGGGCCCGGUUGAAUGGGGUGUCCCACUUGGGCCUCGCCGAUGACUUAGACGACUCGUCCCUUUUGGCUGCCUUUUGGUGUUGCUUUUUCUGCAAAAGGAACGUGGAUGGUUUACUAAUGUGACAAAACUUGUAGUCAAAUUGAUUGGAAGCUAAUAUGAUAAUGUGGUAAUAUAACAAUUACCAGAAGUCUCAUGAACUCCCUCGUGUUCGGGUUCGUGUAAAAGAUCUUUUUGACUUUGUCCAACUUGUACCAGGCCCUUAUCCAGUCAUUCUCCAGCGGGUCGAUGAACUCCGCCAAGGGGUCUGGGAUCCGGAGACUUUCACGUUCGGCGUCCUCCUUGGCCCAUAUAUGCCUCUUCCCCUCGUAACCACGGCUUCCAAGGCGGUGGGGAGGCGUGUUACUGGCCUGGAGCGCCUUCAUUUUCUCCGACUUUGCCUUGACUUCUUUUUUCGCAAUUCUCCAGGAAUUUUGCGAAGUCCUCUUCCGUUAUUGUCGGAUUAUCAGCACGAAUCUUGGACCACGGUUCAUUCUUCCCAACCGCUUUUUCCACCCGAACUUUCCAGGAGGACAAGUCGUUGGUGAACGUCACCAUCGCCUUCUCGUUUAUCUUUGUCAUGGCAGAGUCGUCCCACGGCUCUUUAUAUUCCUUUUCAUUCUGGUCGGGGAACAUGAACCUAUUGUGCAACUUCUUUAGGAGCAUGUGCUCAAUAUGUGGUAUCUGCUUCAACCUCUCGUCGUUGAUGUUGGUGGUUUCCUUGAGGAUGCAUCCAAGUUGAUUGCCCCAGUACUUGUGCGCUUCCUCCGGCACCGUUGGCUCUAACUUCAAGGGGUGAAUCUCUGUGACCAGAAUUUGUCCGAUGCCAAGCUCGUUUGGUUUUCCUGUCCUCUUCUUCUCCGGUGCUCUACCGGCUACGACAUCAUAGUUGCCGGUCUCGAGGGCGGUUUCAGUGCUGGUGCCGGUGUCGGCAACGGGGUCGGGGUUGGGACCACUGCCGCCACCAUGCAACCCCAUCUGGUGUUCGUCCAGGUAAUCGAAAUAGCGAUUUGCUGCCUCCAUGGGGUCUACGGAGCGAGCAGAACCACCCACGACUUCGGCAUUGGUAGACAUGUUUCCUAUGCAACUAUUGUAAAUAAAAGAUAUAAUGAAGAGAGAAAAAGGGGCCUAUAUUUGGUCGGAAUGUUGAUUCAUUCCCCUUCCGGCAAAUCCCGGGUACUCCAUAUGUCCUAGUUUCUAGCACAAGUCAUGCCGAAAAUUUCGGCAUGACCUUUGCUAAAAAGUGGACAUAUGGAGCGCCUGAAAUUUGCUGGAACGGAAAUGAAUCAACAUUCCGGCAAAACAUAGGCCAUUGGGAUACCGUGAGGACAAUAAAUGGAAUUCUCUUGACACCAUCACAAUAUUAAUUAUACAAAUAUAAACAGAAAAUAAUAAGUACUAUGCACACCAUGAGGAUAUAAUAACUACUAGCAAAGGGAUGCAAUGAUCUACGUCGAAUCUGAGAAAGGCAAAUUGUUUCACUAGGGAAAAAUGUUUUCUUGCCACAUUUUCUGCCCACUAAUUCAAAACAUCAACUUUCUACCCACUAGUUCAAAAUUGGUGUAUCAAACUACGGUUUCUACCAAAACACAUGUCUGCUGAAAUGAAUUUGUAGAAACCAUAACUAGAUAAGAAAUGCUACACAUCAUCUAUAUGCAUGCAUACCAAAGCAAAACAUUUCAAGUUCAGCAAGCUUUGAACCUUGCCGGGGGGGUCUGGUACCUGUUGUCGAAGAGCACCUUGCCGGGGGGGUCGGUACCUGCUGCCGAAGAGCACUCUCAGGGAGAGAGACAGANNNNNNNNNNNNNNNNNNNNNNNNNNNNNNNNNNNNNNNNNNNNNNNNNNNNNNNNNNNNNNNNNNNNNNNNNNNNNNNNNNNNNNNNNNNNNNNNNNNNUAGCCGACAGGGAGGGGCGGCGGCGCCGAUGGGAGAGAUCAGGGCGGAUAUGUUGAUGAAGGGCACGGCUCUGGGGGUAACGGCGAUGUUGGGUGGAGUCAGGGGCGACGCGGGGAGGAGUGAGGGGCGGUGCCGAUGGGAGAGCUCGGGGCGGAUCUGCUGAUGAAGGGCACAGCGCUGGGGGUGAUGGCGACGCUGGGUGGAGUCAAGGGCGGCGCGGGAGGAGUCAGGGGCGGCGUUGGGGGUGACGGCGACGCUGGGUGGACACCGGCGGCGGGAGAGGAAUUAGGGAAGAAAUAGGGGCGGCGGGGAGAUUUGGUGACUUAGCGCACGCGGUGGUUAACUCAAACUAGCGGUAGCGGUGGUUUAGUACCAGCACUACUACUAUAGUAGUUAGCAAUAGCGCUCGUUUAGUACCAGCGCUACUGCUAACUGCUAUAGCAGUAGCGCUUGUACCGAUCCAGCGCUACUGCUAACUUUCUUUACUUUAUUUUCUUUAUUACUUUCUUUUUAUUACGUUUCUUUAUUAUUUUCUUCUUAUUAAUUUUCUUUUCUUUUUAUUAUUUUUCUUUCCUUUUCUGUUUACUUUUCUUUUCUUUUUAUUAUUUGUUUUUCUCUCGAUCGACGAUGACUGUGUCUCCCUCUCCCCCAAUGCGCGAAUAUCACCGGAACCAUGCAUGUGGUAACAUAUCAGUUGAGCGAUAACAUCUACUUAAGUGCGUACACAAAAUAGAUACAAAUAUAUAAAUGUUGGUUUCUGAUCAGCUGCGUCGACGAUGUUUCACAUUGAGCUUCUUCCCUUUCUUUUCCGUUGCCGAGUAAUUGAGCCCCUCCUUGUGACAUUUCUGGAUCCAUGGAGUACGAUCUUUCUGCCGCCAUGUAGUCUUGAUUCUUUUUUCAUGUAUGCUUCAUCGUCAUCGUCAUCUUCCCUCAUCGGGUUGCCGUAUUGGUCGUAGUCUUCCUCGUUGGCGACUCCAUCCAUUCCAACGAUGCUCCUUUUGGAUCUCCUCACGACAACACGACUGGGAUUGGCUGGGUCGGUUAUGAAGAAGCAUUGUGUCACGUGCUUAGCGUGUACCCAUGGCUCAUUUUUGGCGAUGAUGUUAACUUUCACGGUAGUGCUCUUUGCGUCGGGUAUAGACAUGGUGGUGAAAUACUUGUUUUCUCUUACGACGUCCUUGGCCCAUCUGGCACGGAACAUCGUCGAAUCGUGCAUUCCAGCAUAGUCAAGCUCCCAGAUCUCUUCGACCCUUCCGUAGAAUCUUUCAGUUGUGCCGUUGGCGUCGGUCACGCAUUGAAUUGUCACCCUGGAGUUCUGGUAAUCACUAUCCAUGUCUUUGGCAUCCGUGUAGAACGUGUACCCAUCGAUAUCGUAGGACCGAUAGGUCGCGAGCUUGGGCGCAGGGCCAUGUGAUAAGGCGUGUAUGAGCAAUCCAUUCGAACUGCCCUCUUCCGGGGGAUUUUCAAGAACUUGCUCUUUGAACCAACGCAAGAAAGUAGCGUUGUGCUCUACAGUAACUUCGCCGUCCGUCUUGAGCAUCCCCUUAUCAUGGUACUUCUUUGCGAUGCUUUCUUUGUGUCAUGCCACAUAAUCAUCUACCACAUCUAGGUGUUGUAGCACUACUAAGUUAGCCCUGUUAAAGUUGUUUCGUCGAUCCGAGUAGUCCACAUGCAAUUCCCUCUAGCCGUUGUUGUGACCAUCUCCUUCGAGCUUCCCAUCGUGCUUCUUGACGGGCAAACCAACAACAGGGUCUCCGACGCUUAUAUAAUUCUCGCAAAAGGAGACGCACUCAUGCGUCAGAUACCCCUAGACGAUGCUCCCUUCGGGACGGGACUUGUUACGAACGAAUCCUUUGAUGACCCCAUUCAUCCUCUCGAACGUCAUCAUGCUGUGAAGGAAUGUUGGCCCGAGGUCGAUGAUGUCGUCCAUGAUGUGGACACACAGAUGCACCAUGACAUCAAAGAACGUGGGCGGGAAGUGCAUCUCAAGCUUGCGUAGUAUGAAGACGAUCUCUUCUUGUAUCCUUCGGAGUUGCUUCACACUUAUGGACUUUCGAGAGAUAACGUCAAAGAAGUUGAAGGGACCAAUAAGCGUGUCACGGAAGUUCUUGUCCAUUAUCCCUCUAAUGCCAACCGGGAGUAUUUGGUCAUCAUCACGUGACAGUCAUGAGACUUCAUCCCGCUGAACCUUUUCUUCUUGGGGUCUAGAAAUCUGCUUAUCUUCCCACAGUAAUCGGAACUGACUUUGAUUCCCAUAAGGCACUUGAUGAAUUGAUCGAUCUCCUUCAGACUUAAGGUGAAGCAAGAAGAGGGGCAAUAAUUCUCCUCCUUCUUGUUGACUUUUCUUCCCCUUUCCCCCUCCUCUGUCUCGGUCUCCGUCUCCUCCAUCAACUUUUUACGGUGGAUGUCUUUCCUGAUCUUCAAAUCUUCCAAGUCUUUCCUUGCCUUCGGCCCAUCCUUGGUCUUCUCCGGCAUGUUCAGUAGUGUGCCAAGCAAGCUCUCGAGGACAUUCUUCGUGAUAUGCAUUUGAUCAAGGCAAUGCGGCAUGUCGUGAUUGGGCCAGUACUCCAAGUCCCAGAAAACAGACCUUGUUUUCCAUACCUUCAGCAGCGGCUCUGGCACCUUUUUUAUCUUUCCCAACAUGGGGCAUUUUUCCUAGUUUCUCAACAACUCAUCGAUUUCGGCGCCGCUCCUCUUACGUGGAGGUCCUUGAAGCUCAGGCAACCCAUUGAAUAGAUCUCCACACUUUCUCCACGGGUCAUCCUUCUCGAUCCAUCUACGAUGCCCAAUGUACACGAUUUUCCCAGACCCGCCAUCUCUCGUUGACGUAAGCUGCUGAGACGUUGUAUCAUCCAUGCACCUCGUGCAUCCGCAGUAUCUGUGGCACACCUGGCCUGAGGUGUACAUGUAACCGAGAUAGUCAUGCACCGUUGUCAUCAGCGUGGCUCUCAUAUGGAAAUACUCUCCUUUGCUGGUGUCCCAUGUCCAUACCGGUGAUUUCCAAAACGUGUCUAGCUCCUCUUGCAUAAGCCCCAUAUAUAGGUUAAUACUAUUUCCCAGUUGUUUCGGCCCUUGAAUCAGCAUGCACAUGUGUAUGUACUUUGUCUUCAUGCACUUCCAUGGGGGGAGGUUGUACAUCCAUACAAACACGGGCCAUGUGUUGUGGUUGGUGUUCUGGUUUCCAAACAGAUUCAUGCCAUCGGUACUCGCACCAAGUAUGAUGUUCCUUGGAUCUUCUUUAGCAAAUCCAUAUAUGGUGUUGAAUGCUCUCCACUGGCUACCAUCUACGUGGUGUCUUGGCCUCGGAUCAUCUCCAUCGUCGGGCUUCUUCCUCUCCGCGUGCCAGCGCAUGAGCUUUGCUUCCUUUCUACGAAAUACCGCUGCAAACAGGGAAUGAUCGGAAAGUACCAUACAACUUUUUGAGGAGCUUUCUUUCCUGCCUUCUUGUAUCGAGAAGCAUUACACACUGGAGAGUUGGUUUUUUCCGCGUGCUCCCCCCGAUAAAUCAUGCAAUCGUUGAUGCAUGAGUGGUACAUAAUGUGCGGCAAAUCAAAAGGGCAAGCAAUUUUCUUGGCCUCCUCGACACUACUUGGACACAGGUUCCCUGCGGGAAGAACUUUAUUAUGUAGAUACUUCAAAUGCUCAUCGAGGCUUUUGUCUGUCCAUUUGUUUUUGGCCUUCGUCUUUAGAAGUUCGAGCGUGAAACUCAAGCGGGUCACCUCGGGAUCGCAACCGUCAUACAAUGGAGUCCUCGAGUCCACUUCAAGUUGAGCCAGCUUGGCCUCCUCUUUAGAAGCAGCUCUCUCUCUAGUCGUACUCUUGCAAAGGAGGUCUUGAACAUGAGGGUCUUGCACGACUGCACUUAGUAGCAUCGAAGACUGCGGCGUGACCACCGCCUCUUCUCCGCCAUGUUCGUACUCUUCUUCGCCGUGUCCGGAAUCUUCUCCGCCGCCGUCAUUUCCGGACUCUUCCCCGCCGCCAUGUCCGGCACCAUCGUCUUCGUGUCAAUCGGUCAUCUCUUCGUCUAGCCCCAUGUUGUUAAUCCCUGCCAUUUGGACAUCCUCAUCAUCAUCAUCUUCUUCACUUAUCCAUUGAGUAUAGCCAUCCAUGAAACCAUUCAUCAGCAGGUGCGCCUUCAAAGUGCCACCAUCAAAAGGGUCAAAAGGACUCCUUCCUUGCAUCUUGCACACGGACAUCUAAUCCUAGUACAAUUAUUUGCAUGCAUGUCCAUCACCGCGGAUUUCAUGUACCGCUCCACCUUCCAUCCACUCACCUUCAUGACCGACUGACGGUAUAACAAGCAAAAGGGUUAUAAAAUAAAUAAUGCAUGCAUGCUUCAAAGUCAUACAAAAUUUUGGCAUGACCUUUCCUAAAAAUAGGACAUAUUGAGUUUGCUCGAAAUUCACCGAAACGGAAAUAAAUCGACAUUUCGGCAAAACAUAAGCAACUUGAUCGGAGGGCAUGUCACACUCGCACAAAUCUCUCCAUAUAUAUAUCCCAAACACACAUAUUCUCAUUCACACACAUAUUCCCAUUAUUUAAGUGAACAACUUUUUACUCACCUAUAUAUCUCCCGAGAGAGACCGAUCGAGUGAGAUGAUGAGAGAGACCGAUCGAAAGUGCACGCGUGGAUGGCUAAAUAGAUAGCUAGAUCUAGUUGUUGGGGAGGAGAGGUGAAUCUAGCUAUCUAACUAAUGGAGAGGGAGUUAUGGUGGAGGGGGAAUUAAUAUAAUGAGGAGAGGAAGAGAGGUAGGACAAAGAGAGAUGUGAGAGAAGUCAUUCCUUGCGCAUGAAUGCAUGCUACUGCAACAAAAGACCUUCCAAUGGCGCGAGAAAUAAGCACGUCGAGGAGAGAAUACUUGGCUUGAUCUUUCUGCUGCGGCUACGCCUUAAGGGACUUCCUAGGCAAGUGUGCAAAGGAUUUCCCCAUGGCAUUGGAGCCUUGCGUUGGUGUUCCCUCGAAGCGGAAAGGGUGAUGUAGCGUAGCGGUGGUAAGUAUUUCGCUCAGUUUGAGAACCAAGGUAUCAAUCCAGUGAAGGAGUGUCUCAAGAUCCUGCACAAACACAAAAACUUGCUCCCAACGCUAUGAAGGGGUUGUCAAUCCCUUAUAGAUUGUUUGCCAAGUGAGAACUGAAAGCAACAAAGUAACAAAGCAAAGUAAAAGAGGAGGUGUAAACGAUGGAUGUGAAUAGACCCGGGGGCCGUAGUGUUUACUAGUGGCUUCUCUCAUGAAAGCAAGUAGACGGUGGGUGAACAAAUUACUGUCGAGCAAUUGAUAGAACCGCACAAACUCAUGAUGAUAUCUAUGCAAUGAUUAUUUCUAUAGGCAUCACGUCCAAAACAAGUAGACCGAUACUGUCUGCAUCUACUACUAUUACUCCACACGUCAACCGCUAUCCAGCAUGCAUCUAGUGUAUUAAGUCCAUAAGAACAGAGUAACGCCUUAAGCAAGAUGACAUGAUGUAGAGGGAUAAUCUCAAACCAAUGAUAAAAACCCCAUCUUUUACCCUUGAUGGAAACUACUUGAUGUGUGCCUUGCUGCCCCUACUGUCACUGGGAAAGGUCACCACUUGGCAGAACCCAAAACCAAGCACUUAUUCCAUUGCAAGAAUCAUAGAUCUAGUUGGCCAAACAAAACCCAAGACUCGGAGAGACUUACAAGGAUAUCAAAUCAUGCAUAUAAGAAAUCAGCAAAGACUCAAAUAUAUAUCAUAGAUAAUCUGAUCACAAAUCCAUAAUUCAUCAGAUCUCGACAAACACACCGCGAAAGAAGAUUACAUCGGAUAGAUCUCCAUGAAGAUCAUGGAGAACCUUGUAUUGAAGAUCCAAGAGAGAGAAGAAGCCAUCUAGCUACUAAUUACGGACCCGUAGGUCUGAAGUGAACUACUCACGAGUCAUUGGAGGGGUGAUGAUGAUGAUGAAGAAGCCCUCCAACUCCGAAGUCCCCUCCGGCAGGGUGCCAUGAAGGGUCUCCAGAUGAAAUCUCGCGAAAACGGAAGCUUGCGGCGGCGGAAAAGUAUUUUCGAGGCUCCCCUGGUUUUUUGCGGAAUAUUUGGGAAUUUAUAGGGCAAAGAUCUAGGUCAGGGGGCGGCCAGGGAGGCCACAAGCCUGCCCACCGCCGCCUCCCUGGAGCCCACCUGGCUUGGCCCAAAGGCCUCCUGAUCUUCUUCCGUUCGGGCAAAAAUCAUUUCGGGGUUUUUCUUCCAUUUGGACUCCGUUCCAAAAAUCAGAUCUGAAAAGAUUCAAAAACACGGAAAAAAAGGAACUGUCACUUGGCACUGAAUUAAUAAGUUAGUCCCAAAAAAAGAUAUAAAAGGUACAUAAAAGAACCAAAUAGGACAAGAUAACAGCGUGAAACCAUCAAAAAUUAUAGAUACGUUUGAGACGUNNNNNNNNNNNNNNNNNNNNNNNNNNNNNNNNNNNNNNNNNNNNNNNNNNNNNNNNNNNNNNNNNNNNNNNNNNNNNNNNNNNNNNNNNNNNNNNNNNNNCCAUCACGUACAACCCAACAUGGGUGUUGCAGGUUGCUCUCUCUCUCUAUCUCUCAUAUUUUCAAGGUCAUUUCUCUUCAUAAUAUUUACCUCUCAUGGUAGUUGCUUCUUUGUUUAAUAGUUAUCUAUCUACUCCCUCCGUCCGGAAUUACUCGACGCUCAAACGGAUGUAUUUGAGCGUCGAGUAAUUCCGGACGGAGGUGUAGUACUUGUGUUAUCUAGCAUCUGCUGGUGUUGUCAGUUUGGUACUUUGCUUAUUUCUGGGAUGUGGACUGUCGUAAUUCUGAACCGUCGUUAGUUACUUGUGGAAUUGUAAACCAUUCAUCUUCCGACAARRAAAAAAUGCUUGCACUCUUCACAGGAGAAGAUAACUCCCUAUGUCUAGAACAGGAGCUGGUAAAUUAAAAUUUGAAUUUUUAGUUUCAGCUCACCCGAGUAGAAUUCAUAGACAUCAAGCUCCAGAGGGUAAUCCACUUUCUGGAAAGAACAGAAACAUGCAUUGCAAGAUAUGUUGACAAAAGAGGUCGGGUGUAGGAUGUCGGAUUGCAGUAUCAAAAUAGGCUAAGGCCUAGUUUGGCAACACGGUUUUUUUAAAACUGUGGUAAUUCAAAACCUCAAUUUUUCAAGGCGUGCCAAUCAAUACUUUGGUUUCUCAAAACUGCAGUUUUUCUCUGUUUUGCCAAAACCAGCGGUUCAUUUGGUAAUUGUACUUUUCCUGUAGUUUUGGUGACACAAACAUUGGAUCCAUUUUGGGGUAUAUGCCACUAGAAUUAAACUCUGGAAAGCAAACCAAAGUUAUAACUUGGUCUUGAAUUGAAGUUUGUUCUAUGACCAACAUUGGGUCUGCUCUUAGCACGAUUGGCCUUCCACCAAUCCAGUCUAGCAAAAAGGAACAUAUAUUAAGUAAGAACUACUGGUAUUAAAAAAUAAUUUGAUAUACAGCAGAAUCACUGAGUAAAAGAAAUAACUUCAAAGGAGUGAUAGAAUAGUAGAUAGAUAUCCUUCAGGAGAAGCCUAGAUAAUCAACAUACCUUUUUUUGCAUGGAAAAACAGUUUUCUGCGUGUUCUGUUAAGAAAGGAGGAAAUAAUUUAAUAAUCUCCUUGGUUCUACCUUGGAAUAACAUAAGAUAACUCUGUACUUAUUUGGUUGAUUUAGGCAGAAGUAGCUGAUCCGAUUACAUAUAACACAUCCUUUUGUUGUUGAAAAAAAUCAUACACAAAAUGACCCGGAUUACAUUCAGCAUGUAAGAGCUCUCUUAAUUCCACGUCCGAUAGACAUAAGAGAUCUUCUUUUGUCAUCGUUAUCAAUCUAUUCCUACUUGUAAUGAAACAUGUCCGAUCACCAUGCAGUUGCCAGUUAUGAUUUUUAUUUGCGAGUCUUCCUGCUUGAAGAUUUUCUAUGUGUUCCUCAAAUUUUAUUGUGUGCCAAGAACUGGAUAACCUUUAUUUAUUGUGUGUCAAAAUCUGACAUAUGUGCAUGACUUCAUCUUUUAGGUUGUCAUACGGAUGUUCUUUGGACUACGAUAUUGACAUGAAGACAUUGAUCGUAAUGCCAAAUUUUAUGUAGUAAUGCCAAACAUUAUGACAUGGAUUAUAUAUAUGAUGUAUAUAUAUGUAGUAAUGCCAAAUAUUAUGACAUGGAUUAUGGAUGUUAUAUAUAUGAUUUAUGGAUUAUGGAUGUGUUAUAUGCUGUAUGGAUUAAGGAUGUUAUAUAUAUGCUGUAUGGAUUAUGGAUGUUAUAUAUAUGCUGUAUGGAUUAUGUUAUAUAUAUACAUAUGCUGUAUGGAUUAUGUUAUAUAUAUAUAUAUAUGCUGUAUGGAUUAUGUUAUAUAUAUAUAUAUAUAUAUAUAUAUAUAUAUAUAUAUNNNNNNNNNNNNNNNNNNNNNNNNNNNNNNNNNNNNNNNNNNNNNNNNNNNNNNNNNNNNNNNNNNNNNNNNNNNNNNNNNNNNNNNNNNNNNNNNNNNNUAUCUUUUUGUCCAUAAGAACUUCACCCAAAACUUGAAAACUUCACAACACGAAACUUAAACAGAAACUCGUGAUAACAUUAGUACAAGAAAGCAAACCACCACUUCCUUAGUUACUGUAGCAAACUUAAAUUCUACUUGUGCUGAUGUUGGUUUACUGUACUUUCAAUCUUCCAUGGCUAAUACCCCCCGAUACUAUCCAUAGUUUCAUCAAAAUAAGCAACCAACACAACAAAAACAGAAUCUGUUAACAGCAGACCAGUCUGUAGCAAUCUGUAUAUUUCGUAUACCUCUAGUACUUCAGAAACUCUGAAAAGUUACGACAGUCUGAAGAAUUUGCGUAGCAAUCAGCAGCAGAAACAAUCAACUCAAAAUCUCUUAGAGAAAAAAAAUGAAAAUUCUUUUCGUGAGCAGAAAGUUUCUGUCUUUUCCAGCAUGACCAAACGAUCAUCCCCAAAACUAAUCAUAACGGUUUUGCUUGGCACAAACGCAAAAAGAAACACAAAAACACAAUCAUAACAAAAUUAUGAAAGUGUGGAAAACACAAAACAGAAAGAAAAAUGAUAGAUUCGUUGGGUUGCCUCCCUAACAAGCGCUUUUGUUUAACGCCCUUAGCUAGGCAUUCAAUGAUGCUCUCACAAAAGACAAGAAUUAAAGCACAACGAGAGCAUCCUAAAGCAUGUGGAAACCACAUCUAAGUCUAACAUACUUCCUAUGCAUAGGCAUUUUAUAGGAAAACAGAUUGUCAAGACAACCAAUAGUUGCCAUAUGCAAGGAAGAAGAAGGAGACAAUAGCAAUCUCAACAUAACGAGAGGUAUUUUGGUAACAUGAAAGUUUCUACUACAAUAUUUUCCUCUCUCAUAGCAAUUACAUGUGGGAUCAUAUUCAAAUUCAACAAUAUAGCUAUCCCAUAGGAUAUUCUUUUCAUGAUCCACAUGCAUGCAAAGUUGACGCUCUUCAAAAAUAGUGGGAUUAUCAUCAACCAAAGUCAUGACGUCUCCAAACCCACUUCCAAUAUUAUUGCAAAUAUCAUAUUCAUCAUGGGGUUUGAACAAAUUUUCAAGAUCAUAAGAAAAAUCAUCGCCCCACUCAUGAUCAUUGCAACAAGUCGUGGACAUAGCAAAACUAGCAUCCCCAAGCUUGCAUGCNNNNNNNNNNNNNNNNNNNNNNNNNNNNNNNNNNNNNNNNNNNNNNNNNNNNNNNNNNNNNNNNNNNNNNNNNNNNNNNNNNNNNNNNNNNNNNNNNNNNGCAAGAGAUGAGUUUGUGAGACCUACUUGGAUAGAUCUUGAUUUCUCCUCCCCGGCAACGGCGCCAGAAAUACUUCUGCUACUGCAACAAAAGACCUUCCAAUGGCGCCAGAAAUAGGCACGUCGACAGGAGAAUACUUGGCUUGAUCUUUCUGCUGCGGCUACGCCUUAAGGGACUUCCUAGGCAAGUGUGCAAAGGAUUUCCCCCGUGGCCUUGGUGCCUUGCGUUGGUGUUCCAUCGAAGCGAAAAGGGUGAUGUAGCGUAGUGGUGGUAAGUAUUUCCCUCAGUUUGAGAACCAAGGUAUCAAUCCAGUGGAGGAGUAUCUCAAGAUCCUGCACAAACACAAAAACUUGCUCCCAACGCUAUGAAGGGGUUGUCAAUCCCUUAUAGAUUGUUUGCCAAGUGAGAACUGAACGCAACAAAGUAACAAAGCAAAGUAAAACCGGAGAUGUAAACGAUGGAUGUGAAUAGACCCGGGGGCCGUAGUGUUUACUAGUGGCUUCUCUCAUGAAAGCAAGUAGACGGUGGGUGAACAAAUUACUGUCAAGCUAUUGAUAGAACUACGCAAAGUCGUGACGAUAUCUAUGCAAAGAUUAUUCCUAUAGGCAUCACGUCCAAAACAAGUAGACCGAUACUGUCUGCAUCAACUACUAUUACUCCACACGUCGACCGCUAUCCAGCAUGCAUCUAGUGUAUUAAGUCCAUAAGAACAGAGUAACGCCUUAAGCAAGAUGACAUGAUGUAGAGGGAUAAUCUCAAACCAAUGAUAAAAACCCCAUCUUUUUACCCUUGAUGGCAACUACUUGAUGUGUGCCUUGCUGCCCCUACUGUCACUGGGAAAGGUCACCACAUGGCAGAACCCAAAACUAAGCACUUCUCCCAUUGCAAGAAUCAUAGAUCUAGUUGGCCAAACAAAACCCAAGACUCGGAGAGACUUACAAGGAUAUCAAAUCAUGCAUAUAAGAAAUCAGCAAAUACUCAAAUAUAUAUCAUAGAUAAACUGAUCACAAAUCCACAAUUCAUCGGAUCUCGACAAACACACCGCCAAAGAAGAUUACAUCGGAUAGAUCUCCAUCAAGAUCAUGGAGAACUUUGUAUUGAAGAUCCAAGAGAGAGAAGAAGCCAUCUAGCUACUAACUACGGACCCGUAGGUCUGAAGUGAACUACUCACAAGUCAUUGGAGGGGCGAUGAUGAUGCUGAAGAAGCCAUCCAACUCCAAAGUCCCCUCUGGCAGGGUGCCGGGAAGGGUCUCCAGAUGAGAUCUCACGGAAACGGAAGCUUGCGGCGGCAAAAAAGUAUUAUCGAGGCUCCCCUGAAUUUUUGCGGAAUAUUUGGGAAUUUAUAGGCCAAAGAUCUAGGUCAGGGGGCGGCCAGGGAGGCCACAAGCCUGCCCACCGCCGCCUCCCCCUGGUGGCGGAGUGGGGGCUUGUGGGCUCCCUCGAGCCCACCUGGCUUGGCCCAAAGGCGUGCUGAUCUUCUUCCGUUCGGGAGAAAAUCAUUUAGGGUUUUUUCUUCCGUUUGGACUCCGUUCUAAAAUCAGAUCUGAAAAGAGUCAAAAACACGGAAAAAACAGGAAUUGGCACUUGGCACUAAAUUAAUAAGUUAGUCCCAAAAAAAGAUAUAAACGGUACAUAAAACAACCAAAGAAGACAAGAUAACAGCGUGAAACCAUCAAAAAUUAUAGAUACGUUUGAGACGUAUCAAGCAUCCCCAAGCUUAACUCCUGCUCGUCCUCGAGUAGGGAAGUGAUAAGAAUGAUUUUUUGAUGCUUUCAUGCUACCUAGCAUAGGUGUCCUUUGUAAUUCCUCUUAUGUGACGUGAAUGUUCAGAUCCAUUAGAUUCAAAACAAUAGUUUGUUAUUGAUGUGGAAACAAUAAUAAUUCAAGCAAACUAGCAAAGUAAUCAUGAACUUUCAAAAUAACAAGGCCAAAAGAAAAUUAUCCCUACAAAAGCAUAUAGUCUGACUAUGCUCUAUCAUCAUUGCACAAUGAAUUUAAAUCAUGCACAACCCCGGUAUUGGCCAAGUAAUUGUUUCACACCUUUACUUUCUCAAACCUUUUCAACUCUUACACAAUACAUGAGCGUGAGCCAUGGUUAUAGCACUAUAAAUGGUGUGGAAUGUAGUGGAGGUUGCAAGACAAAAAGGAGAAGAUAGUCACAUUAACUAGGCAUAUCAAUGAGCUGUGGAGAUGCUCAUCAAUAGAUAUCAAUGUGAAUGAGUAGGGAUUGCCAUACAAUUGAUGCACUAGAGCUAUGAGUAUGUGAAAGCUCUUAAAGAAAACUAGUGGGUGUGCAUCCAACUUGGUUGCUCACGAAGACCUAAGGCAAUUUUGAGGAAGCCUAUCAUAGGAAUAUACAAGCCAAGUUAUAUAAUGAAAAAUUCCCACUAGCUAUAUGGUGGUGACAAAACGAGAGACUCUCAAUCGUGAAGAUCAUGGUGCUUAAUAUGCACAAGUGUGGAAAAAGUGGUAGCAUUGUCCCUUCUCUCUUUUUCUCUCAUUUUUUUAUUUUGGUGGGCUCUUUGGCCUCUUUUUUUUGGUGGGCUUCUUUGGCCUGUUUUAUUUCCUCACAUGGGACAAUGCUCCAUUAAUGAUGAUCAUCACACUUUCAACUCAAAACUUAGAGUAACGAUGACUCUAUAUGGAAUGCCUUCGGUAGUGUACCAUGGCAAUGAUCUAUCAUGGCAUAGACAUCAAUGGAAACAUCAUGCUAGCUAUCUUACAAUCAUGCAAUGGCAAUGUAGAUGUGGUGGCACAUGUCAUGGUGGUAGUUGCAUGGCAAUAUAUCUCGGAAUGACUUUGAAAAAACCAUAUUAGGUAGGUAUGGUGGCUGUUUUGAGGGAGGCUAAUGGUGGGUUUUGUGUACCGGCGAAAGUUGCACGGCACUAAGAAGAUAGUGAUGGUGGAAGGUGAAAGUGCAUCUAAACCAUGGACUCAACAUUAGUCAUGAAGAAAACAUAUUGUCAAGACAACCAAUAGUUGUCAUAUGCAAGGAAGAAGAAGGAGACAAUAGCAAUCUCAACAUAACGAGAGGUAUUUUGGUAACGUGAAAGUUUCUACUACAAUAUUUUCCUCUCUCAUAGCAAUUACAUGUGGGAUCAUAUUCAAAUUCAACAAUAUAGCUAUCCCAUAGGAUUUUCUUUUCAUGAUCCACAUGCAUGCAAAGUUGACGCUCUUCAAAAAUAGUGGGAUUAUCAUCAACCAAAGUCAUGACGUCUCCAAACCCACUUCCAAUAUUAUUGCAAAUAUUAUAUUCAUCAUGGGGUUUGAACAAAUUUUCAAGAUCAUAAGAAAAAUAAUCGCCCCACUCAUGAUCAUUGCAACAAGUAGUGGACAUAGCAAAACUAGCAUCCCCAAGCUUAGGGUUUUGCAUAUUCUUAGNNNNNNNNNNNNNNNNNNNNNNNNNNNNNNNNNNNNNNNNNNNNNNNNNNNNNNNNNNNNNNNNNNNNNNNNNNNNNNNNNNNNNNNNNNNNNNNNNNNNUAUUCACCACAUGUUAUGUGUUUUUGCUUGGAGCGUCUUGUAUCGUAGGAGUCUUUUAUUUUUGUUGUGUCACAAUCAUCCUUGCUUCACACCUAGAGAGAGACAUGCACACACCGUGAUUUUGUUGAGCUUCACUUAUAUCUUUUGGUAGACAAUUCAGCUCACAUGUGCUUCACUUAUAUCUUUUGAGCUAGAUAGUUUUGCUCUAUGUGCUUCACUUAUAUCUUUUAGAGCACAGCGGUGCGUGGCUUGGUAGUUGAUCUAUGCUUUGAAAGUAGUCUCAAAAGGGGUAGUUAUCCAAAGGGAUAUGAAAACUUCCACCUUCAUGUGCAUUGAAUAGUUAGAGAAGUUUGAUUCAUCUCAAUUAGUAUUCAAUUGUGGUUAUGGUAAUAUUAAAGUCAUGCUAGUAAGGUGUUGCGGAUCUAGAAAUACUUGUGUUGAAUUUAGUGAUUCCCGUAGCAUGCACGUAUGGUGAACCGCUAUGUGAUGAAAUCUGAGCAUGAUUAGUCUAUUGAUUGUCAUCCUUUGCGUGGCGGUCGGGAUCGCACGAUGGUUUAUACCUAUCAACCCUUCCCCUAGGAGUAUGCGUUGAAUGCUUUGUUUCGAUUACUAAUAAAACUUUUGCAACAAGUAUAUGAGUUCUUCAUGACUAAUGUUGAGUCCAUGGUUUAGAUGCACUUUCACCUUCCACCAUCACUAUCUUCUUAGUGCCGUGCAACUUUCGCCGGUACACAAAACCCACCAUUAGCCUCCCUCAAAACACCCACCAUACCUACCUAAUAUGGCUUUUUCAAAGUCAUUCCGAGAUAUAUUGCCAUGCAACUACCACCAUGACAUGUGCCACCACAUCUACAUUGCCAUUGCAUGAUUGUAAGAUAGCUAGCAUGAUGUUUCCCUUGAUGUCUAUGCCAUGAUAGAUCAUUGCCAUGGUACACUAUCGAAGGCAUUCCAUAUAGAGUCAUCGUUACUCUAAGUUUUGAGUUGAAAGUGUGAUGAUCAUCAUUAAUGGAGCAUUGUCCCAUGUUAGGAAAUAAAAGAGGCCAAAGAAGCCCACCAGAAAAAAGAGGCCAAAGAGCCCACCAAAAUAAAAAAUAAUGAGAGAAAAAGAGAGAAGGGACAACGCUACCACUUUUUCUACACUUGUGCAUAUUAAGCACCAUGAUCUUCAUGAUUGAGAGUCUCUCGUUUUGUCACCACCAUAUAGCUAGUGGGAAAUUUUCAUUAUAUAACUUGGCAUGUAUAUUCCUAUGAUAGGCUUCCUCAAAAUUGCCUUAGGUCUUCGUGAGCAAGCAAGUUGGAUGCACACCCACUAGUUUUCUUUAAGAGCUUUCACAUACUCAUAGCUCUAGUGCAUCAAUUGUACGGCAAUCCCUACUCAUUCACAUUGAUAUCUAUUGAUGAGCAUCUCCACAGCUCAUUGAUAUGCCUAGUUAAUGUGACUAUCUUCUCCUUUUUGUCUUGCAACCUCCACUACAUUCCACACCAUUUAUAGUGCUAUAACCAUGGCUCACGCUCAUGUAUUGCGUGAGAGUUGAAAAGGUUUGAGAAAGUAAANNNNNNNNNNNNNNNNNNNNNNNNNNNNNNNNNNNNNNNNNNNNNNNNNNNNNNNNNNNNNNNNNNNNNNNNNNNNNNNNNNNNNNNNNNNNNNNNNNNNUUUGGGGAAGAGGGAACUCAAAGCAUCAGCGUCACGCGUUGUGAACAACGAGAGGAAGCCAGAGGGAGUGAGUGACGGGUUGAACAUUAGGGGUAGACCUACGGACCUGUUUUCCUAGGUGAACUUAAGGUCCCAUAUAGACGUGAGUGUCCUACAAGUCACUGAUGUAGUCUCGACCUCACUCGGUAACAGUGUCCUCACUCGGUUACAUGAAGUCACUCAUUUCACCUUGUGACAGUCGGACACCCCCGACACUCGGUCAACAGCAAGGUGAGGACAAUGAAGAGGCUGCAACGGCUAAGGACUUAAACUACCACAUGAAAUGCAGUGACCAGUUACGCCAAAGUUAAAGUUGUAGUUUCUAGUAACUUACGUAGUUAUUAACAUUAAUUGCCCUUGUAAUGAAGCUCGGCCGGUCGUGGUGCCCCCUAUAUAAGCCACCCCGGGCUCCUACUCAAGGGUUAAGCAUUCUAUACUAUUACACUAGUAGAAAAACUACUUUACGUGAGAUACUUUAGUUUCGACUUGUAAACUAACCGACACUAGUGUGACCAUUAGUGUCGGUUCCAACGUCUAGGGGGGACGGGCAUCAUUAGUCCCGGUUCGUGUCGAACCUCUAGUACCGGUUCGUGACACGAACCAGGACUAAAGGGGUGGUGGCAGGCUAGUGUCAGGCUGGGGGCCCACUAGCACCUUUAGUCGCGGUUCGUGGCACGAACCUACUAGAAGCUCACAUUAAGUACCGGUUUGUGUCAUGAAUCGGGACUAAAGGUCACUACAAGAAAUAUGUUCGUUUAUGACAAAAAUAUAAUGACCAUGGUUUAUUGGUCAUAGAUAAAUGACCAAAUUUUACGAAAUGGUCAAGGGAUGUCCAAGGGGGUCUAAACCCCCACCAUUGUGACAAGUUCUAUCAAAAAAGUCAUUACCUCAUCGCGCUAAUUGGUCAUAAAAUGUAUAGCACUAUCCAUGGCCUUAUUUUGGGUCCACCUUGACCAAAUAAAUAUGGUCAUAUGUCCAAGUAAGGGUGGCUGGACACACACCUCAACAUGUUUCUCUCUGUGUCAUGUAUACAUGUAGUAAUUUUGUCUAUGUGUGAGCCCUGCAUGUAAAAGCAACCUACACGUGCACGACCAACGAGGGGCCUCGCUACCCGACAAGUCUCAAAUUUGACGCGCGGGACUAACAUACCUAACGAUAUUGGUCCCUUGAUGAAUAUGAAUUUUUAACGUUGUUUCAUUUGAAAAGAAAUCAAAACCUUAUGCAAUGUAAGGAGACCAUUAGGCCCAUAUAGUGGAUUAUUUAUACUAGUGUUGUCAUGAAACCCUGUACCUAUGGAGCUCGCCGCCGCUCUUGUUAAUGUAUUGUUUAGAUGUCAUAUUUCUACUACUCUCUCAUCAUCUCAAAAUAAUUUGAAAUAAACCACGAUUUGUAUUUUGGAACGGAUGGAGUAUAUGAUUUAGGCAUGGCAUCAUGGCAUCUUUGUAAUGNNNNNNNNNNNNNNNNNNNNNNNNNNNNNNNNNNNNNNNNNNNNNNNNNNNNNNNNNNNNNNNNNNNNNNNNNNNNNNNNNNNNNNNNNNNNNNNNNNNNCCACAAAGGAGACAAGUAGCAGCAGCGCCCCAAAUCGAGGGAGGGAGGAUCCUCUCAGGUGAUAUUUUAUCUCUCAAAUGUGAUGUCCCAUCUCUUGGUUAGUUGCUUUGUUUGGAUGAUUUCUGGCCUUGAUGUGUGCUGCGAUUUACGAGUAUUUGGUAGUAUGAACUGUAGAAUAGGGAAUAGAUCUGGGGUGAUGGGUUUAACAACCACAGGAGAUAGAUGAUGCCUUUGUGCAGUACUAGGAAUCAAAAGGAUCUGGGUGGGAAUGGUGACGAGGCAACACAACAAUUUCAUGUGUUCGUUAUAACUUUAAAUAGUCUAAACACCAUUUUUUAUGAACUACGAUGGAUCAUAAAGCUACUAACAUUAUAACAAUUGGCUUUAUCUCAUAAAAAAAUUGCAGUCAACUAACAAAUGGAUGGUAAGACCAGGAGAAUAUAACUGAAGAAAUCUAUAGCAUUUUAACUGAAGGACAAACUGACUUAUCUUCAGUUAAGUGGCAUAUUAACUUUUCAUCAGUGAGGUACAACAUUCUCUACAUACGGUGCUUUUUUCUUGAGUAUACCAGUUCAAUAAUGAACAAUUAAUUCACUAUAUGAAUUGAUUUCAGUUUUGUACAUGUCUGCAUCAUACUUAAUGUUAAUUCCCUAUUAAAUUAGCAAGAUUUAGGAAGUCAUUUUUUUGCAGGUCAAAAAAGCAAGAUUUAGAUGAUAUUUCGCAACAAUGUCAAUGUUAGAUUCUGAUUCACCAACAGUGCUCUUUAGGUUACAAAGGAUUUGAAUUGAGCGAUUCAACUCUGCCUUCAUCAGUACAAACAAUUCAUAAAAGAGGUUCAGUCUCUUCUUUAUUAUCUAUGUGCAUUAAUACUAUGUAUGAUACUAACUGAGUACAGUUGCCUGCAGUAUGCAUUGCUCUACUUUGGAUCCUUUUUCUUACUUUAUACUUCCUUUGCUCUCUGUUGUGUUUGCAGAUGAAUUGGACUAAUCUACUCAGCAUCUCAUGACUUUAGAAGCACGAGUUCAUGAAAACUGAUAUCCACUAGGAUUGCUCUGCUCCUGUUGACAUGCGAGAGCUGUUUGAAGCGAACUGGAUGGUUGUCACCACUGAUUAAGCUGCCGAGCCCAAGAAUUGUGUCAGACUAUUGGCCAAGCUGUUCAAUUUCUCAACACCGUUCAGUUUUGUCAUUGGCCGCCCUUGCGUACACUCAACAGAGAAGGGUAUCUAUGCUCAAUUUCCUACUCUAGAUAACAUCUACUCAUAUAAUUGAUCUCUAAUAUCCUGUACAAAACGUUAGUGGUGGCUCGACAAUUUAAUAAGCCAGAUUUGUGGGAAGUGGAAUGCAUGUGUAACCAAACUGGGCUGGACCAAUCUUGAGGUUUUCCACGAAUUCUUUUAAAAAUGGUUCUUAAGCAAGGCACUGGGAAAUCGUGGAUAGCUGAUAUAUCCAGCAGGUAUGUGCACAUUCUGCUAUAAUCUAGAGUAGGGAGUGCUCAGCAUAAAUUGUGAGAUCUGAGCUGGUACAUAAAAUAAACCAAGAUAGUCUUGUCUUACGUGCGGAUGAUUUUAUAUGGCAUACUGUUCAGCAUAAUUCUGACUCUAGAAUGUCUGUAUUAGCCNNNNNNNNNNNNNNNNNNNNNNNNNNNNNNNNNNNNNNNNNNNNNNNNNNNNNNNNNNNNNNNNNNNNNNNNNNNNNNNNNNNNNNNNNNNNNNNNNNNNCCCUCCCUCGAUUUGGGGCGCUGCUGCUACUUGUCNCCUUUUUUGGAUGGGGGCAAGCUGUGGUCGAGCGGACGGCGGCGCGGCGAGGAGAAGUCAGGACAAGGUAGAGCCGCACGGAAGAAAGGGAAGGAUGGCUUGUGCGUCGUCCGGGAACACGAGGAGGGAGAUCGGCGCCCUUGCACCUGUCUGACCGGCAAGCCUCAUCAGCAACCUCCUCUUCCAUGCCCAGCCUCGCCGUUCAUGACCUGACGGAGCAGGCUGGUCAACGAGCUAUGGGGGUGGAGCGAGAGGGGGUGCGGGUCGCUGGCGAUGGGGUUGGGGAAGAGCUCGACAGCGUCUUUCGCAUCGGCCGUGGCCGCCGGAGCUCAUCGGAGGCACGCUGAUGGUGGAGACGAGGUCUCGCCCCAAACCCUAGCCGUGGGGGAUGGGUUGGGCGCGGGUGUUGGAGGCAGGGAGGGACGGAUCUGGCCGGAAGGAUUAACAAGCAUGGCGAGGUGAACUCGGCAGGGUCCUCCAUGCCGGCUAUGACCGCUGGAGCUCAGUGUUAAGGUCGGCGGCGGCGCCUAAGCCUAGGUCGCAGGAGGGCAGAGAGGAGAUGCGGAUGCGGGGGAGAGGGGCUUCGAUGCGGCAGGGUGGGGUUCCUUUUCUUUAUUUUCCAAUUACUUUGCCGUCAUUUGGACUAAGGGCAGACGGCAAAACCAUGGCACCGUUAACUGCCGUUCGUGUGCACACAUGGCAAAAUAUCUUUGCUGUCAUCAAUUUUAUUUAUACACGGCAAAAUAUUUUUUUGCCGUCAUUAGUAUACUUUACAGACGGCAAAAUUAUAUUUUUGCCAUCAUCAUUAACUUUUUACAGACGGCAAAAUAUAUUUGCCGUCAUCUGAUUUUCUUACGGACGGCAAAAUAUUUCUUUGCUGUUAGUUAUUCUUUGUCGUCACGUCAGUGUCGGCAAAAUGAUCUUUGUCGUCUGCCCCGAUGAUUAGCUGACGGCAAAUAAUUUUUUUGUAGGCAAAAUAGUUGAUUCCUGUAGUGGUACUAGCGCUGGAAAUAUGCAUAGCAGUAGUGCUGGGUCGAGCGCUACUGCUAUCGCGCUAUAGCUAAACCCUAGUAGUAGCGCAGGUAUGGGCAGCGCUACUUGUAAGUAGUAUUAGCAGUAGUGCUUCCCUGUCCAGCGCUACUUCUAACUAUAGUAGUAGCGCUUGCUCAUAGUAAGCGAUGCUGCUAAGUAGCGCUACUGGUAAGUAUUUACCAGCGCUACUGCUGACUUCUACUGCUUUCACAGCUUUGCACCCUCUACGUAUUUGUGAUGUAUUUAUAUAGAUUCUAUACAAUAGUUUCAUCACAUCAUAUUAAACAUACACCAUUCUCACAUAUCAUAGACAUACAGUAGUCUCGUCAUACCAUCAUCAUCAUCAUCAUUCAACACAAAAUAUCAUCACAAAAUCUACGAAAAUAGCGAUACAUAAGUGUGAUCAUGUCAUGUCUUGAAUAAGUGCAACUACAUGGUCAUGACACACCCACAAGUUUCAUCAUCUCUAUCUACAACAUGAUGUAGAAGAGAAGAGCGAUCCGCAUGAGGAAGAGCCUGACUAUGUAGUACCGGCGGUCCCGCCCCUGCUCAUGCUGGAGUGUCCACCUCAAGUAACUACUUUUUGCUUCGGCUCUGGUGUCGAACCCUCUAUGGGUAGCACCCGGGUACCUGUGCACCUGGGCCUGAGCGGCUGGCCAGUGGUCGUANNNNNNNNNNNNNNNNNNNNNNNNNNNNNNNNNNNNNNNNNNNNNNNNNNNNNNNNNNNNNNNNNNNNNNNNNNNNNNNNNNNNNNNNNNNNNNNNNNNNUUGUUAGUUCUUGCAGAAGUUCACUAAAUUGCUAUUUCUGUUAUUACUCUCUGAAUUGUUCCAUCGGUUUAUGCUGGAGUUGAUAAAGUUUAUUAAUUUUGUUAUAGAACAUCUAUGUGAUUGUGUAUCUUGCCACAUGUAAUGUAAUUAACAUUUGUUGUGACAUAAUGUUGUCGUGUUUGUUUGAAAAUAGUAUUACCUACUAGAAUAACUCUUCAUCCUUGUGACAUAAAUACACUGUAUAUAGUCGGGUGGACAGAUUAGUCAUUUAUAAAUCGGUCACCCCUACCACAACCUAAUAAUGCUUAUUCCCUUUCAAAAAAAUUAACCAACCAUUUGCUCGUUUUCACAUUUUAACAUCUACAAAUGCACAAUGCUUAUGAUUUAGCUUUUUUUGUUUCAGUCUAUGUAUGUACAAUGCGCUGGUGGAGACAUGCUUCAAGGACCGUGUUCACACAAUCCCAAGGAAGACGCUCGACAAGCUUGGUUGGUGGUUUGCAGUAUUAGACUCUUACCGGACCUGAUAUUUCUAUUGCAAUAAAUAAAGUAUACCAAUUUAUUCAUGCACCUACCACAACUCACUGGACAGCAGCAAAACGAAUCCUAAGGUAUAUCAAAAAUACAAUGACCAUGGGUCUCACGUUCAACAAGUCAUCCUCCACACUUGCUAGUGCUUUCUCAGAUGCAGAUUGGGCUGGUUGCCUAGAUGACAGAAGAUCCAUAUAGGUGGGUUUGCAAUUUUCUAUGGGCCUAACCUUGUUCUUGGUAUGCAAAGAAACAAGCUACUGUGUCCAUAUCUAGUACAGAACACUACUAAACCCUAGUACACUACAGAAAUCGAGCAUUUUGCUGUCAGGACGCUACAGACGACAAAGAGCGAAUUACAGUCGGCAAAAAUUUUGCCGUCAGCCCAUGGCGGCAAAUAAUGUCGUCAGACCAUGUGCCCGCAAAGGGCGUCUUUGCCGUCAGCGGUCGGGACAGCAGACGGCAAAAUGUUUGCCGUCAGUGGAAUUAUGUUGCCGUCUGCUACUUUGGUAGACGGCAAAAAAAUGAUCACAAGACGGAACGGCCUAGCUAACGGACUAGCCUUUUUUGUCCAUCUUCCUCACCCCGUACAUGACAGCAAAAUAUGGCUUUUUUUGCCGUCUUGCUAACCUAUACAUGACAACAAAAUAUAGUUUAUUUUUUGCCGUCUUCCUAGACUAUACAUGACAGCAAAAUAUGACAUUUUGUUUGCUGUCAUGAGCAUAAAUAGACAUAAUUCAUACAACAUAUAUAUAUAUAUAUAUAUANNNNNNNNNNNNNNNNNNNNNNNNNNNNNNNNNNNNNNNNNNNNNNNNNNNNNNNNNNNNNNNNNNNNNNNNNNNNNNNNNNNNNNNNNNNNNNNNNNNNCCAAAUGAACCGCUGGUUUUGGCAAAACAGAGAAAAACUGCAGUUUUGAGAAACCAAAGUAUUGAUUGGCACGCCUUGAAAAAUUGAGGUUUUGAAUUACCACAGUUUUAAAAAACCGUGUUGCCAAACUAGGCCUUAGCCUAUUUUGAUACUGCAAUCCGACAUCCUACACCCGACCUCUUUUGUCAACAUAUCUUGCAAUGCAUGUUUCUGUUCUUUCCAGAAAGUGGAUUACCCUCUGGAGCUUGAUGUCUAUGAAUUCUACUCGGGUGAGCUGAAACUAAAAAUUCAAAUUUUAAUUUACCAGCUCCUGUUCUAGACAUAGGGAGUUAUCUUCUCCUGUGAAGAGUGCAAGCUAUUUUUUUCUUGUCGGAAGAUGAAUGGUUUUCAAUUCCACAAGUAACUAACGACGGUUCAGAAUUACGACAGUCCACAUCCCAGAAAUAAGCAAAGUACCAAACUGACAACACCAGCAGAUGCUAGAUAACACAAGUACUACACCUCCGUCCGGAAUUACUUGACGCUGAGCGUCAAGUAAUUCCGGACGGAGGGAGUAGAUAGAUAACUAUUAAACAAAGAAGCAACUACCAUGAGAGGUAAAUAUUAUGAAGAGAAAUGACCUUGAAAAUAUGAGAGAUAGAGAGAGAGAGCAACCUGCAACACCCAUGUUGGGUUGUACGUGAUGGUCAAAGGAGUUGUGCGACAAAGUAGGCGACCACAUCCAGCGCCACCGGUAGCUAGUCAGAAGAAACAAUAAUUAGGCUAAGAGGUUCAUCVACAAUUACUCAUUUUCGUAUCAGUAAAUUAGAUAAACACCAUAUGGCAAAAAGACAAGUUAAUGAUCAUUAAAGUCCGGUAAAUACACUAUCGGAACAGGUUAUUGAUUUGCAUGAAUUUUGGGACUGAGAAGAACCAGGAAGCGCAACUUUGCUACAGGAUGGCAAACACAUGAGAAAUUAGGCAAACUACUAGUCUUCUUCUUCUUGUGGUUUUCUAGUAUUUGCGGGUGAGUUCUUGUUCCCUGCCUACUUGCCUGCUGUACCGUAGUUACUGCUCGCUUACCACAACAACUUCUGCUGCAUGCAGUUAAGUCCAUUAAACGUAGUACAACUUUUCCCUGUUCUUCAACUUUUGAAACCGUCACGGCGGAAUCGGCGCACGGCUCUCCAACUCCAAUCCCCGGUACGCCAUCCGGAGUAGAUUCUGUGCGUAUCGUCUUCUUGCCGGACGCCGGUUCUUCUUGCUCUUCUCUUCUAAGCGAGUGUUCUUGCCGUUCGGGCCAGCAGCUUCCCGUUGAUUUGGUACUAUGCGUACAUCUUCUCUCUGCUUCUCAAUUCUCAUGCUUCUCAUGUUUUCCUUUUUUUAAAAGGAGGAUUACCUCCGGUCUCAUGCAUACGGCCCCACAAACUCCUUUCUCAUGUGAGAACUGAGAACAAGUUCGAUUCUUUUAUCGCCUAAAUAAAAUAUUUCAAUUCUUUUAGGUCUUAGUAGUAGUAGGUUAUUGUACCAGAN